UGUUCGUGCCUGAGCCUUCAGGUUGCUCAUACAUAACUGAAAACAUUUAAUUUAAGCAAGGAUGAGCAUUUGAGUGCCCAGCAAGUAAUAGCAAUUAUAUAUAUAAGCUGAAAGAAUAUAAGUAUUCUCUUUACAUAACACUUCUACAACGAAUCGAAAGUUGUGAAGUAAUCUGUACUGAUAAAAAAUUCACAUAACAACUCUCUUCCAAAUUAUUUAAAUUUGGCUCUGGCUCUACCCAUGAAUAGGGUUUAAGAAUCAUACUAUGAACAUUCUUUUCAUUUUCGAAAAGGUUUGGCAGAAAUCCAUCCGCAAACCGCUCUAGCUUACGGGCACGGAGGGUGAUCAGCCCCGUUGUACCCUGUAUUGAUCAAUACUACAUAACUUGAACGAAAUUCAUCGCUCACUCUAUCCGCCUUGGGCGCAAAAAUCUUCCCAUAUAGGGAUGUUCAUACAUGCCUGGUUCCAAACCCGAAGGUUUUUAAUCUUGCUCAACAAUAAUAUGUAAUUCAACAUAUAUGUAUACGGGUAAUUGACAGAGGUAUAUCAACAUGUGAAUAAAUGCCAUGGUUAUCCAAGUGGGGACACUUGUAUAACCAUUUAGAAAUCAACUUAACAGAAUAUAUAUCUGAGCUAACAUGUUGAUAAUCAAAGCGUACAUAAUCUGUACAGGAAUAGAAUAAUUCUGAAACUUCUUACUCAUGUCCAUUGCAUAAAGAAAAUGCAAAGGUAGGAUACUUGCCUGAUUCGCUGAUUACAAAUCUCAACUUAGGUUUUAUCUCUUUAUCACAACCUAUCAAUAAUCAGAUCAUUCGUUCGAUUAGAACAAUAUAUCUUAACACAUAGUACUGUCUAUUACAGUCAGCACAUAGUCUAAUCACAUAAUCACAGUGAUCAUACUUUUAGUUCCUAUUCUAUACUUGAAAUAUUUUUAUACAUUUUUCAAAUAUCUCAUCCAUGCUCUUACAGUAGUCUUUUCUUUCUUUUAUAAGGUCUGACAUUUGUCGGCGUACCGACAGCUUUAUCGGGUAAAUACUGAGUCUAAGACUCUUAUUCUAUACCUCAACAUCUGUAAAUAUCAGACAUCUUAUUUUUAAUCAUUUUCGCAAUUUCCAGAAAUUGAAAAAUUUAAAAUAAUUCAAAUCUGUCACUAAAGGGCCUAUAGUGAUAUAACUGUUACUAUAGGUGUUCUUCUUCAAAUUCAGAACUUCAUAAUCGGUUCUCAAGUCAGCUAGUUUGGCCGGCUAUAACUUUCAAAUAUCGGAAUCAUAAUUAAAUGAUUUAAACAUUAAACAAUUCCAUUAUCAUUAAUAGUUUAAUUAAUACUAAACUAUUAAUGAAACCAUUGCCAAAAUAUAAAAGUUAUUUAUAAUAACUCAAACUAUUUUUAAAACAUUUAUAUUACCCAAAUAAUUACCAUUAAUAUUUAAAUAUUAAUGUACUAUUUAUCCAAAUAUUAAAAGUCAUUAAUUAUAACUUAAAAUAUUUUUAAAUCCUUAAUAUCCUCUUUAAAUGGUUUUUAAAUAAGUAAAACCAUUUUUAAACUAUUUAUUUAAUAUUAAUCAUUAAAUAAACUAAAUAUCAUUAAUAUUAUCUUAAUAUCAUUAAUAUUUAAUUAUUAAUGAAAUUAUCAUUUAAAUAUUAAAAGUUAUAUUUUAUAACUUAAAAUAUUUUUAAAUACCUUAUUUUCAUUUAAAAUGAUUUUUAUAAUAUUAAAAUCAUUUUUAAACUAAAUUAUUUAAUAUAAUCAUUAAAUAACUUUAAUAUCAUUAAUAAUUAUUAAUUAAUGAAAUUCAUCACAAAAUAUUAAAAGUCAUCACAAAUAACUCAUUUACAUAAUCAAUUCCAAGCCAAAAUAAACAUAGUAAACUAACUAGUUUAUUAACAACACUAACUAAACUUCAAAAAUUCAAACUUUAACUAACAAUUAAAAAUAAUAACAUUACAAAAAUUAAAUAAGAAACAUACCCGGAAAUACGAAUUCCACAGACUGAAUACGCACUUCCACGCCAAAAUUUAACUAAGGAGAUCUUUAUAAAAAGUUCUCCCACAACAAAGCCUUUCUCAAAAAUUGGAGGCCUUAUUGUUGGUGAAUGAAACAAAGGCCAAGCCCUUCUAUUUAUAGGUUUAGAAAAUGGUGAAGUUCUCAAUUUAGUCGAUGUGGGACUUGGUUUAUACUAAUUUUUCAAUAGCUCACUUUGCGAUUUUCUAACGCAUUGCUCAUAACUCCGAUUAAUCUGAUUUUUGGAUAUGUUAUACAUGGUAUGUAAGACUAUUUUUAAAAAAUACGAAUUACCCAAUUCGGGUUCAUUAGGUAGCCCAAACAGUGCGUCAAAAGUGGACGUUCAUAACAGUUUUCAAUCUCGUUUCAGCUUUACCCUCUUUCGCUAAAACAGUCAUAACUCUUUCAUUUUAAAACAUUUUUGAGCGAUUCUUGAGCCCACGCGAAGCUAACUUCUGGGGCUACAACUUUUAUUCUUUGACCAUUUCCAAAUUCCGAACACAUCAGCCCAGAAAUUCCGUUCAAAUGGACUGCACCGCACUUGUUGGGAAGUUUUGACACUACUACUUUGAAAUGUCAUAACUCUCUCCUCCGAUAUCGGAUUUAGUCCGUUUCGGAGUCUAUGGAAAGCUUAUUCGGUGUACUAUAACAUACCAAAAGCCCAGAAGGUUUUGGAAACAUUAACUGAUCGAAACAGUGUCCCGAAUAGCACAUCCCGCUGCUGACUUUCAGUUUUGAGAAAUUUGACACAUUUCCUUCCAAUCACCGUAAUUCCCUCAUCCGAGGUCGGAAUGAGGUCAUUCCAAAGCCUAUGGCUUCCUAACUCAGUGCACUACAACAUAUCAAAAGCCCAGACCUUUUAAAGCACAAAAAGUGGACGAGAAUGCCCCCAUUACAGACUGCCCAAAAACAGUUUAUCAUGAUCGGUCAACCAUGUUUGACCAUCUAUAACUUCUAAUCUAUACAUGAUAUGGACUUGAUUCUUUUUGCAGAUUAAAGACCACAUAUCAGGCUACACAUAACAACUUUUGAAGAACAAAACUCAUGAUCGAGCAAAGAGUUAUGGCCUCUGACAUUUGGUGAAAAAAAAAAAGAAUUCGGUUUUUCCAACUUGCUUAAAUCUUCAAAUUCGUGCACUUUGAUGUUAUGGGUCUUUGAUUUAUCAACCCAUAUCAUCAAUUAACAUUCUAUUACACAACUUUAAACAAUCAAUUGCAUCAAAUAACAUCGAAUCAAAGGAUUUCUAGGUUUAGUGUUCUUAUACCCUUUUUGCCAAAAAUUCUUGAUUCUUGCUUCUGAUUUGUUAUGGGUGAUGGUUGGGCUUUGUUUAAGAGUGUAUGGGCAAUCUUGUACAAGGCAAUUAAAUGUAAUAUUUAAUCACUAGAUUUAAUUCUUAUAAUUUACCAAUUAACUUCUAUCCUUUGGUAAAUUAAAACACUUAUACAAUAACAUCGAAAUUAAACCCGGUAAUUAAAAUUAGGGUUUCUCAACGUCAUCAAUUAGGGUUUCUAAUUGACCAUUAGUGGUUCUUUAAUUAUCUGUGUAUGUUACUAACACAGUCGUUACGGUUUCUAAUUUCAACCGGUUAGGGUUAUAAUAAUUAGGGUUUGUCCUAAUUAUCGACGUACAACAGUAAUUAGGGUUUCUUCUAAUUACCGAUAUUCUUAUUCACAGUAACUUCAUAUACACAGUCACUACUCAGAAAUAUCCCAUAACUGAGUUUAAUAAUUAGGGUUUCACAGCACGGUAAUAUGCUAUGACCUAAUUGACCGUCAUUGCUCAAUAUUAUCUGUCCGCACAUACCCAGUACAUAAUUAUGGUACUGUAAAAUCAUUAUAUAAAUAAUAUAAUAUUAUUAUUCUCAUCUCUUGAUCACAAUCCCAAUCCAGGGUUUGGAUCUCAUGUCUGACUUAUUCUUCGUACACAACAUCAAUAAUCAAGUUAAAAUAAUUAACUUAAAUAUUCUGAACAAUUCAUAUAAUAAAAUAUUUAUUAUAUAAAUCUAAUUAUCACUUCAUAUAUUAUUUCCAAUCAUGUUUUCAUGGAAAAUAAUUAAUAAAAAUAUUUCGGCUUACAGAAAUUUAUUACCAUAUAAUUUGUGGUAAUUAAUAAUUCCAAAAUUAUUUCUAAUUUUUCAAGUAAUAAAUGUAUUCGCAUUUAUCGUUCACUUUACUUGACACUUAGUCUCGUCAUUAAAAAAACAAUUUAUACGCAAAAUUUCUUAUUUAUUUUAUAUAGAAAAUCUCGGGUUAUUACAUUGCAUAUGGUCGCAGAUGAGUAUUAGCGACCGACUGCGAUCGCUGAUUUUAGUCGUAGGUAAUCUAGUCACUGAAUGGACAUUAGCGACCAAUAAUAGCGACCGACUUAUUAGCGACCGCAAGCAAUGACCACAUCCAUCGCUAAUCUGACUUAUGCUGAGUCAUUUGUCAGGUGUGACGUGGCACACGUGUCAGCGACUGGUAAUAGCAACCACAUCGGUUGCUAGGUUCCAAGAAGGUAACGUGGUCGCUAUUACAGUAUUAGCGACCGCAUGUGGUCAUUGAUGUGUGUGUUUUUUUAAAGUUUUUCAUGUUUUAUUGAUUUCCCCAAAAAUAACCUGCUUUGUACCUGCUUUCUAUCCCAACACACAACAAUAUGUAUAAGCAUCCAUAUUAACAUCCAUCCAUGAUAACUACUAUUUGAUAAACAUUAAUCCAACACAACAAGUCUAGCUCUUCAUCCAACACAACACAAUACAAUUGUAAACAUUCAUCUAACACAAUUCAAUUGUAAACAUCUAUAUAAACCAAUAUAAUUGUCCAAAAAAUGAAUCUAAAAGGGUAUAAGGCUUUAAAAAUCUAAAAAACAAGUCUAGGCGCUCUUCAUGGAUCAUCUAAAUUAGGACCCUAUAAUUAACAAAAGAAUAAAACAUACAUGUUACAUGUGUUGAUACUGCUAUGACUUAGGGAAAUCUAAACAAAAGACAAUGCAGUGAAACAAAUAAGUAAGACAGUGACAGUAACAAUAUCGAUAUAUACCUGGUCGUCGUCCUGAUGUCGUGCUGCUGCUGUUGCCGCCAAUGCAUCUGCCAAAUCAUCAGGACUCAGAGACUGCAAAUGCCCGCCCAAGUAUACGAAAAAGAUCACGAUCCUGACAGAUCGCUCUCUCACAGUCAAUAGGAGUAUGAUAGGCUAGAUGACAUGAUGACUGUGUAGACUGGGUAGCAGAGCUUCCUGUGCCACUGAUGGUCGGGCGUCAUUUUUGUCCUUGGCCUUUAACAUAGUUUUUCUUCACGACGGAUGCCGUCUCCCAUAAUUCUUGAUCAAUCGACGGACGCGGGGGUGCCUUCAGGAUAGCGCUCGUUCAUUAAGCCCUUAUAAGUGUCAUGUCAGAAGGUCAACAAUUAAAAAGUUAAAAAUAAAUAAAUAAAUGCUAAAAAAGGUCGUCACAAUUUAUAUACAACAUAUUAGUAUAAAGUGAACUUAUUACCGCUAUCUGAACAACCUCAGGCAGAACAUCGCGGGUGGCCAAAUACACAUCCAACCAAUUGAUAGGUUGACCUUGAGACUGAGACUCCUACUGUUCAUUUUCUCAUAUUAAUAUGUAAACAUAUGAUAUUUUAGCUACAAAAGAUGACUGUAAACAUAACAUACGUACCCUAGCAGCAAUUGCAUCAUGCAUGGUAUGCAUAUGCAUUGGGAUAAGUCUAAAUUACCCUACCAACGAAAAAAUUUCGGUAGAGUCUCCCCUAUAAUAUGGACUAUCCACAUGCAUGAGGGCAUGCAUACUUGACCAUUUUUAGGCAUAUAAGAGCAACAAGAAUGUAUAAGAAAUUAACAUAACAUCACAUAUACUCAUUGCCUUUAUAUAUUCCAGGGUCUCUAAACACAACAAAAACUCUUUUACAUAGGAUAAGACAUUAGGUGAUGAAAAUAUCUUGAUGGUCAAGUUUAAAGAACAACCAAUGGACUUUGCAAUGUGUUCUAGAAACUAUAACACUGCGUAUAUCAAGAUUGAAGAAGAAGGCAUACUAUUAGUCCCUUAAUGUGGGACUAUAAGUCCUAUAAAGUCAUUUGAUACAAUCCAAAACAUUACAUACUAUAUACUUAUUUUAUUAGAUUGUAUAAUGUUUGAAUAAUAUAGCAUUUUGUUGAUUUUAAGAUCAAGGCAGUGCCCCAAUAAUGUAGGAUUGAAUAUAAAGUACAAACUUAUUUUUGUGGUGUCAAAAAAAACAUCAUCUCAAACAUAUGUGACAGGCAGAUGUAUUGGAACCAAUAGUUUUAUAAGAGAAUUGACAUAACAUACUUAUAUAUAUAAGAUAAAAAGAGAUUCAAUCAAUCAGACUAUAACAGGAUUGCUUAAUAAUGUGUGUGUGUAUUUUUUUCCCGUCAAGUAGAUUUAAAUGUUGAUGAAAUUAACAGCUGGUCUUCAAUAUUGUUGUUUUUUUACAUUGAUUUAUCUAAGAGGUAAAAUUGAAAGCUAUCAAUUUCUAUUACAGUGCAGACAGACUCUUUUUCACCUAACACACAAAGGUUGUCCAAUAAUUGGAAACCCAUUUCUUACCUAACCUACUAAAUUAUUAAUUAAUUAAUAUAAUUUGGUGUUAUAUUAUUUAGGGUUAAAGUUGGAACUUUUGAAUUGAAUAAAUAAAUAAUAUCUUAUGGAAAUAAAUGGUGUAAGGAGUAGGGAGUAGGGAAUGUAUAGCCAAAAAGACAAACCAUGCACUAUUUAUAUAAGAACCCCACUAUUAAUAUUAUAUAUAUAUAUAUAUAUAUGAAAUGAAUGUGUGUGUGGGUGUUGAAAAAGAAUUUGGUGGGGGAAAUUAAAUGGUUAGCCUUUGCCGUAUGGCAAAGGUUAUGAAUAUAUAUAUUAUAAGUUUUGUUUUAUUAGACUAUAAAUAGAAUAUAUUAUAUUUUAUUUAAAGUUUUGAUUUUAUUAGAAUAUUUUAUUACACAGUAAUGAAUAGUAAAAUCAAAUUUUUAACGAAUUCAGCUGAUUGAAGUUGCGCCCGUGAUUCCACUGUUCUCCCGUGAUUUUUAUUUUUCUAAAUAGUAUCCUUCCAUUCUCCUAUAAAUACGAUACGUAGUUAGAAUUGAAAAUCACACCAGAAUCAGAGAAUUCUUCUUCUAUAAUAUUGAGCGUAUUUCUNNNNNNNNNNNNNNNNNNNNNNNNNNNNNNNNNNNNNNNNNNNNNNNNNNNNNNNNNNNNNNNNNNNNNNNNNNNNNNNNNNNNNNNNNNNNNNNNNNNNAGUAUUUAUUAAAUAUUAUAGUGAACAAAAUAAAGAGAGAAAAAAAUAUAUCAAAAAGAGAACACAAAUAUAUAUAUAUAUAUAUAUAUAUAUAUAUAUAUAUAUAGUCCAAAACUCCCCACUAAAAAUUUGAUCAUCAAAUGCAUGUCUGUCCGUCUUGUCUUUAAAUUUCAAGUGAAAACCUCAUAAUUAUUUUAUUAUUAAAGAACAGAUGUUAUAUUCACUACUUAAUUUUCAAUUAUUACAUCUUUUGUUGGGUUCUAGUCAGAAAUUUAGCCACUCAUUAAUACAACAAAAUAAAAUUAUUACAUUGAAAUUUAGCCACUCAUUAACACAACAUUUAAAUCUACUAAGAUUUGUAUAUGUUAAAACCAAAUAAAAUUAGUACAUGGAAAGAUUUAGGGAUUUAGGGAUAACAAAAAGUUUAAUUUAGGGAUUAAUUGGGGCUUACCGGUGGUGGUGCAGCGGUGGUGCAGAGGUGGUGCGACAGUGGUGAAGCGGCAGUGCAGCGGUGGUGCAGUAGUGCGACAGUGGUCGGCAGUCUCCCUCCCUCUUCUCUUCCCCCCUACUCCCUCUUCUCCCUUGUCUGUAUCUCCCUCUUUUCUUCUCUAUAUUAAUGUCGCGAACCUGGAUCUGAGUAAGUUUAUGAGAAUCAGCGACCACAUGCGGUCACUGAUUUUUAAUGAUGUGGAUAUAUCAGCGACUGCUAGUGGUCGUUGAUAUAGAUUAGUUGCUGCGCCAAAGUUUUGCACCAAUUUUUGACAUCCUAUACUGAAGUUGUGUAUCCCAAAAAGGGAUUGAUGUUGGGUUAAUUAAAUAUUGACAUUUAGUACAUGUGAGCAUAAGUAGGAUGAGAUGCAUACUCCUAGGAUGUUGAAUAGGCUGAUCCCCUAUCUCAUAUCUAAACAAAAAUUCUAAGUCUUCGUGACUGAAAGGAAUAAAAAGUCCAGAAAUGGUUGAAAUAGAAAUUCUAGAAAUGCUAACAACAAUCAGUUGAGUUUUGAACUGUUAUACUUCUUCAAAUCAUAUAUUGUUAUAAAUAUAAAACCUGCUGAGCGUGUCAUAACUCACCCUUACAAAUUAUUCCCUUUGUAGUAUUAGAUGGUAAUCCUGGCACUUCUAGAGUUCAUAAAGGGAAACGUCCCUGCUUAGAUUAGUUUAUAUUACUGUCUAGUUGAAUGUAAUACUUUGUUAUAAGAAAUUCUGUAUGAAGAAUCAUGUAAUCGAACCUUAAUGAUAUAUAUAACAUCUUUUAUUUCCGCAACCGUGUUUUCUUUUACAUAUAUAGAUGUAAUAAGAAUUUCCAAUCUAGUUUGAGAUCCUUGGGAACUAUUUAUCUGAGUGAGGGUAUUGACAACAUGGACUAUUCAUGUUGUUAUUGAUACUCUAGAUUUUGGAUAGAUAGGUACUAUCGAUACGAUAGUGUAAUUCGCAUGAUAUAAGCUAUACAUCUAAGUGAGGGUAUUGGUAAUAUGGACUGUUCAUGUUAUUACUCGUACUCUGAAUUUCGGAUAGAUAGAUACUAUUUAUAGAUAUAGUUCAUACAUCCAAGUGAGGGUAUCCAAACACAAUAAUAGUUCUCCUGGAAACUGUUAUCUGUUAUGGGAUACUGUGAAUCUUGGAUCUAUGGGAAUUGCAUCUGGUUAUAAUUGUGUUGUCACUCAAGUAGAUAUAAGCAUAUAAUCAGAUACCAUGGGCGUAUAAAUUUGAAUGCGUUAUAUACAUUGACUAGUAGUAAGCACCAUAUCGAAUACCGUGGGAGUAUAGAUAUGGGGGCGUUACAAAUAAUGGUAUAAAAGUUGUUAAGGCUAUAGAUAUAAGGAAGAGAAAUCUUAGUAUAUAUUCUUCGAGUCCGUAAAAAUAUUAAAUUUCACGUAAAAAUAACAUUAAAAAUAUUAUGUUUGUGUAAAUUUCUAUACCAGUAAUAAAGGAGUUUUAUUUUAUAGGAUGGCUAACUCCAGUGUUGAAGAAAUGGUGAUAGUAAACAAUCCACCACAAAUUAAGUCUUUUAUAGCUAGUGAUGCAGAGGAUGAAGAAUUGCUUCAUGAUCAACAACUACUAGAUGCUGAGGAAGAGGAAGAUCCAGUAGCAGGGCAAUUAAUGAGAAUUGAUGAGCAUGAUGAAGCAAUGGCAUCACUAAUAAAGACGUCUGAAUAUGAGAAUAAUAAAAUGAAUUUUAGGGCACACUUAGUUGAGGGAAUGUUAAAGCAUAAAAAGGGAACCAAUAAUCAACUAAAAGUACAACUGCACCAUGUACAAAGGGGAAGGAAGGAAAUACAGUCAAGGCAACUCAAAUCAUCUCUGGGUACUCGAGAUGUCUUCAAUGAUUUGCAGCACCGAGUAAUUCGAUAUCCAGUAAAGGAGAAGAAAACUUCAUAUCUGAUAGAUCGAUCUCUGGUAUGCCACAUGAUCUAGGAUUCCUUCGAUGACGUUAAUGAAUUCUAUAGGGAAUUAUAGAAGUCUAAAUGCUCUAUAAUAGUAUAAGUAAAAAAGAAAUGUAAGUUUAUAAUAUACCUGGUAGUAAGUGUAAACUACUAGUUGUUUUGUAUGUAUCUUGUGACAUAUGAAUAAAAGAUAUGUUUGUGUUAAUCAAAUUCUUAUGUGGAUUUUUCUUAUUUUCUAUAAUCAUGCCACCAACCAAAAGACCUCAACGAGAGAUAGAUAAUGAUGUUUAUCCUACCCAACAUUUAGUAGAACUUUUAUUAGGUGCUAUGAAUAGACCCAUAACCCAAAACACUCCCUUUAAGGAUUUUAAAUUAGUUGGUCCACCCGAGUUCAAAAGUACAUCCGAACCUGUCGAUGCACAAAUCUGGAUUGCUAAAAUAGAAAUUUUUUUGUUAGUAACCAAUGUCAAUAACAAUAAAAGACAACAUUUGCAACCUUUUUCUUGAAAGGUGAGGCGAAUUACUGGUGGGAAUCAACUAAGGGUCGGGUAGAAACUGAAAUUGUGCCAUGGGAUAGAUUCAAAGAAUUGUUCUUUAAAAACUAUUUUUCCCAAUCUCUGAAGGAUUGUAUGGAAGUACGAUUCCUAGAAUUGAAAUAAGGGGACCUGACCGUAUUUUAGUAUACGGCCAAGUUUAACGAACUAUUAAGGUUUGCUCCUCACUAAGUCAAUAUUGAACUUAGAAAGACUCGGAGGUAUCAGGAAGGUUUGAAACCACAUAUACAAAGUAAAUUAUCCAUAUUCUAAUUAAAGACUUUUUUCGAAACACUUGAGAAAGCUUCCAUAGCUGAGAAUGAAAAUGAGAAUCUCAUUAAAUUUCAUCAGGAAAAGAAUAAUCAAAAUGAGAUGGGGAAAUCUAAGACCGAACCCACAGUUCAGGUGGGAGUAAUAAUAAAAGGAAAUGGGAUACUACUUUUUCUAACAAUCCAGGGAAAAAGGUAGGUAAUAAUAAUAAUAACUUUAGUAAUAAUAACUUUAAUAAGGGGGAACCUUGUCCUACAUGUGGAGGAAAACAUAAAGGAGUAUGUUUUAAAAGUAUAAAUAAAUGUUACAAUUGUGGACAAGUGGGACACCUUUCUCCAUUGUGUCCUCUCCAUAAUAAAAAUAAAUAUUUCAACUGUGGUUAGUUGGAACAUUUCGCAAGGAACUGUACCAAACCCAAGAACCAGGGAGGAAAGGGAAAUAGAGUGCCGGAGAAUAACAAUAAUCAGUCAACAGUAGCUGCAGUUGGAGCUCAGAAUCGACCAACCGUGAGAACAUUUAAUAUGUUGGUGAGGGAUGUUGUUGAUUCACAGAACGUGGUGAUAGGUAUUAUCCCUAUCAAUAAUUUAAAUGCAUAUAUGUUAUUUGAUUCUGGUGCUACUUGUUCUUUUGUGUCUAAUAGCUUUUUUAAAAACCUAAAUAUACCAUGUGAAAAUUUAGACAUAUCGUUCUAUGUGGAAAUUACAAAAAAGAUUCCUGUAAGAUUAUAUAUAAGAACUGUAGUGUGGAGAUAAAGGGACACAAUUUUCUGGUAAAUCUUAUUCCAAUUCAGUUGGGGGAAUUUAAUAUAAUCUUAGGAAUGGAUUGGUUAGUUAACCAUAACACGAUGAUCGAUUAUCAUAAAAAAUGUAUAAACUUUUUGAAUGCGUCGAAUUCAAAGGUAGUGUUCAAUGGAGGUUGUUCACCUAAGCAAUCUCGAUAUCUGACCUUAACUCAGGCAGAAAUGUUACUUAGAAAAGGUUGUUCAGGAUAUUUGGCCUAUAUAGUUGAUAUUCGACAGGAAGGAGUAAAACUAGAUCAAAUACCUAUAGUUAAGGAUUUUCCUAAUGUGUUUCCAGAUGACUUGCCAGGUUUACCUCCAGAUAGGGAAAUUGAGUUUGUCAUUGAUCUUGCACCGGGAACAACACCAGUUUCUAAGGCACUAUAAAGAAUGGCACCUGUAGAACUGAAAGUGUUAUUAGUUCAACUACAGGAACUCUUAGAUAAAAAUUACAUACAACCUAGUUGUUUAUGAUCCUCUUUCUUUCCUUUUUCAUCAUUUACGAUUUUAUUUAUGCUUUUAAUAUUACAGACUUUGUCUAUUCAUCAUUCGUUAUCUUGGCUAUUAGAGUUAGGUAACUCCCAUUUCUUAUCUUUAUAUCUCUUUAAGAUUCUUCUUUGAAUUCUCUUGUUUAUAUAACAAUUCUUCUUUUAAGAAUUUCUAACUUCAUUUACAUUGUUCAACAUUUCAUUUAAGUUCCAUAUUUUCAUCAUACAUAUGCAUUUUCUAUACCUGGUACACAUCGAGUCUCUAACAGUUUCAAUAUGGUACGCUGAGUGGUUUCCCACAAACAACCAACAAACUAGGUUCCGAGUUGCUAGUUCGUAUAUACCUCCGCUCUAUGAAGGAACCGUUUAGCCCAAAUACCAUACAUCAACUAUUAAAGAGUACAAUUAUACCAUACUUAAAUAUAACUUUUUAUUCUUAACUUUUUAUCAUCUUCUCCUUUAUUCUCUAAGGUUAUAUCCUAGGGUACUCUUACCUUAGGUUUAUAACCUACAGCUUUGAUACCAACUGUAACGACCCCAAAAUUCAUACAAUUUAAUUCUCGACUCCGGUCGUUAAUAAUACAUUCAACCUCCAAUUUUACAUCAUUAAAUGAUAAUACAACCAUUGAAAUUUGCGGAAUAAUUAAAAUUUUCUAUUACAAACUAUCAUCGUUCCCAAAACCUUCAACUUUUACACAAAAUCAUUUUAAUACUACAUUAGUUUAUAUCGUAAAACGAUAUUACAAUUCAACAUUAAUACAUUAAUCGGAACCUUAAACAUGGUUCAAAUAAUAAUAACACAACCAAAGUGUAUAAAUCUUCAAGUUUCACAUCUAAUUAUUGUUUUUCAAGUAACACAUAACUUUACCUUGAAUCUUGAACCUACAAAAGUGGUUAUUUGCAAGGUUGAGCUCGACAGCCCAGCAAAAUCUAAAAAUUUUCAUGCAUCACAUAACACAUAAUAACAUGCUCAACAUAUAACAUACAUGCUAUAGUUCAUAUAACAGGUAUAAAGAUACUCAAUCAGCAUGCUUUAAUCAAUCAACAUAGUAAUAAAUUGACUUUAACAUUUCAUACUUUCAACAUAUAUAUAAACUCUUUGCAAUAAAGAUUUAAAACAGUUAAUCAUCAAGUUCACAUAGCAAAUAGGAACUGAAAGACUUGCCUGAUUCGUAGUUUAUGAACUACGACUUAACUGCUUAACGCUUAUAUGCACUUCGUGUAUUCCUACACAGUUAUAUAAUCAUGGAUUCACAUCCAUUAGUCAUAUAUUUCAUACGUUCUUAAUACAAAAACAAACAUUGUUUCCUAACUUGGUUUCAUUUUUACUUGAACUUAGUAUAACCACGAGACUAGUUCAUUCUAUUAUCAUAUUUAUCUAAACAAUCUUGUUUCAUAUCUUGUAGUCCUUAAAGACAAUAUAUAACAAUAACUUAAGACCAUGCAGUUAACAAACUACUUUUGGUCACUCUGCAGUAUGGCGCGGCCGCGCUGUAUUUAAGCUUAGGAGUGGCACGGCUGCGUUACCCCCAGCCAAAACCAGACUUGAUCUUUUCAUUGCUUAGUUUAGUCCUAACCUACUAUGCAUUCUGAUAAAUACUAUAAACAUACAUCAAGUAGGUUUUGAUAUUUCUUCAAGUUCACCUUUCAAAUCAUUUAGUUUUGAAUGACAUAGUUCUAUGUUGAAUUAUUUACAUCAAUAAGGUUUAACAACUUCUUUUAACAAAGGUUCAAGGUUUAUAAGUUUUUAAACCUUAUAUUGGUACUAACAACCUUUAAUAUGCAUGUUCACAUGUAUCUAUCUCAUUUACACAGACAUAGCAAAGUUCAUACUUUUAAAACGUGGUUACAUAACUUAUGUCAUGCUUGACUAGUUGAGUGCACAUAUCAUUCAUGUUCAAAAGCAUAAAUAACUCUAUCAUGCUUGCUUAUAAGGUCAUAAUGCAAGUUACAAUGCUCAUCAAAGUUAGUUUCUAAAACUUUUAAAUUUCUCUUUGAAAACACAUAUUAUCCAAGCUAUACAAGUUAUCUUAUACGAGGUAACUUAAGAUCACAUUUUAUGCUCGCAUAAUUCAAUCAUAUGCUAACUACAAAGUCAGAACUCAAGUGACUUAAAGUUCGUCAAGGUUUGUUUUCGAAAUCUUCAAGUUUCUUUUUAAAACAUAUACUAAGUCAUGCUUAAGCAUCCCAUUAUGAGUAAAGUAAUCUUAGCCAUAUGACAUAUCUAUUAUCAUGCAUAUUCAUAUUUUAUUACUUAGAAUAACAUAAUCCAUUGUCCGAAGCACUAUACUUGAGUAUGUGCUCGAUCGACGCCCUCUGAUCACCUCUGAAUACGUAAUAGUCACAAAGAUGACUAUUUUGACCCUUCCUAAAUACCUCAAAUUAAACUACUUAAAGAACAAAAGUUGUAGGUCUAUUUUUCCUCGUUCCAGAUCAUCUUGAAUCACCUCAAUCGGAGUUCGUAUGAAAAUGUUAUGGCCGUUUUACCAAUAUAGGUAAAAGCAGUCACAGUCAGAACACAUGGGGCGCAGCCGCGCCCCUUUUCCUCACAAAUACCAAGCGCCUGCACCAUUUCCCAGCCCCAGAUGUAUGCCCGCGCGCACGAUCAGUGCGCCCACGUGCACAGGCAACGCGCCCGCACGAGGCUUCACAUAGAACACAGUUUUGGUCAUAACUUUCUCAUUUUAAGUCCGAAUUAGUUGGUUUUCGAUUCUAUGAACUCGUGAAAUACUGAACUACUCAUCUACAGAAUAAUUUUAACAUUUCAAAAACUUUAACAAAUCAAUAUAAGGGUUCCAAUUCCCUAUUCAUGCUAUACUUUCAUGUUUUAAACAUAUUUAGCGAAUUCAUUCGCUACGAAUUCAUUUUUCAUCUAUUUUGACUCAUUUAACUUGGGUUGUUUUCGUUUCUCAGAGUAGAACAAUAUUCACCCAUCAAUUAAAAGCCUUAAACAUGUGAGCAUGAUCAAUUUAGCCUCAAAAACAAACCAUAACUUAUACAACAAAACCCAAAAGACCAAUUUUACAAAAAUUCAGAUUUGUUGGCUCUAAUGUCUCUUAUAGACAAUACUAACAUAUUAUCCAACAACAAAUAAUCAGGAUUUCAUCACUUCAUUCUACCAAAAAUAAUUCUAACAAUAAAGAACUUUAAGAAAAGCUACUAGAAGUUUUAGAAUUCUUCUCUUGCCUCUUAAAUCUUCUCUAGAUUGAUAAUAUGGUGAAGAUUACUUGAUUAAUCUCCUUCUUCUUCCUUGAUCCUCCAAAGCUCUCUUCUAAUUUCACAUAGAACUCUUAUUUCUCUCUCUCACUCUAUCAACCCUAACAUGUCAAAUGAAAUAACGUGUGAAGGUUUAAUCCUUCAGUUACUAGUGCUACCAAGAGACCCAAAGUCUCAGCAAUUAGAAAAUACCAAGAGUUUAAGCCAUGUUUGGCAAAUAUACUCCAUGGCUUAUUUCUAUUUUAUUUUCUUUUCCUACUAUGUAAUAUAUUCUUCUUUCUCUAAGUGUCACACUUGAACUAUACUGCUAAAUCACUUAGCCUUAUUAAGUAAUUAUACAACUAUAAUAUGUAUAAUUACUACAUUAUAAAUUAUGAAAUUACAUUCAUAAAUAAAAUAACACCUCCAUUAAAAUAAACAUUUUCAUUAAAAUCAUUAAUAUUUAUUCUAUAAUUAUUUUAAUUAACUCAAAUGAAUUAUACAAUUAUUAUAUAUAAUCAUUUCAUUCAUUUUUUUUCACAUAAAUUGUUUCAAUUCAAUUUAUUUAAUCCAUACAUCUAAUCACCACUUAAAUAUCAAUUCAAUUUAUUAAUCUCUAACCAAUAAUUAUUUAUAGGUAUAUUGGUUUUUCUUCUGUCACCAUCAAUUUAUAUUUUAUUAACAUCAUUCAAGAUACUAAACCUUUUAAUAUCUUACCAUGACAUGUAAUAUAUAUUAAGAAUACCAAAUUUAAUUAGCAAAACUCAUAUAUUAGCUCACUAUUUAAUUAAGUGAAUUAACUCUUUUAUCCACUUUACUACAACACCACUACCAAGUAAGGUUUUAAUAUUCAAACUAUAUUAUACCAUAAUAUAGUUUCAACUUAAUUUAAAUUACUCAAUAUUUAUAGGGUUAAUUUCCAUUGCCACCAAAUUCCUUGUCGUGGCUAAUUUCUUUUAUUUCCUUUAAUAGUUUAAUCAAUUAUUAAAUCUCAUAAAAAUUUAAUUUUUUUUUUCACACCAAGACACAUAAUUGAAAAUAUAUACAUCUCAUAAUAAGAAUUUUUAAUUAUUAAAUUCUUAAUUUAAUAACUUUUAAAAAAUUCGGGCUGUCACAUCUUUCCCCCCUUAUAAGGAUUCCGUCCUCGGAAUCACCGAAACCCUAUCUUACUCAGGUUUUCAACAAAUCUCUUUUCAAAAUUUACCGUUGAAUAUCUUCAACACGUUAACUUAGCAAAAAGUUUUACAUAUAUAUAUAUAUAUAUAUAUAUAUACUUCAUUCAUUUCUUCUACAACUUUUAGGUUUUAUUACAUAACCUUCAAUUAAACACAAUCAUAUAUCAAAUAUUAUAUAUUCUUUAACCCAUUUAUUUCAUUUUCUAAGGAUCGUUAUCAUAAAUACUCGGGAUAUUAUAAUAGACUAUAGAGAAUUAAAUAAAUUAACCAUUAAGAAUAAAUAUCCUUUACCAAGAAUUGAUGAUUUGUUUGACCAAUUAAAGGGGGCCGAACACUUUUCAAAAAUUAACGUUAAGACAAGUUAUCAUCAGUUAAAGGUAAGAAAGGAAGAUGUGCCGAAGACAUCAUUUAGGACACGCUAUGGACAUUAUGAGUUUCUUGUAAUGUCUUUUGGGUUGACAAACGCACCGGCAACAUUUAUGGACUUGAUGAAUCGAGUGUUUAAACCAUGCUUAGACAAAUACGGGAAAGGAAAAACACGGGAAGAGCAUGCUGAACACUUGAGAGUCGUUUUGAAGAUAUUAUGAAAGGAAAAACUUUAUGCAAGGUUUUCCAAGAGUGAAUUCUGGUUAAAGAGAGUUCAAUUUUUAGGUCAUGUAAUUGACAAAAAUGAAAUAUCAGUUGAUCACUAAGAUCGAAACGGUUGUGAAUUGGGAACAACCAACAAUUCCAACAUAGGUAAGAAGUUUUCUCGAUUUAGCGGGUUAUUAUCGACGAUUCAUAAAAGAUUUUUCAAAAAUAGCAACCCCAUUAACCAAUUUAACUCGAAAGACGGUGAAAUGCGUCUGGACAGAUAAAUGUGAAGAGAGCUUCCAAGAGUAUAAGAAGUGACUGAGCAUGGCUCCAGUGUUGUCCUUACCAGAUGAUACAUGAGGCCUUGUAGUAUUUAGUGAUGCAUCACACAGAGGUUUAGGGUGUGUGUUGAUGCAACAUGGGAAAGUGAUCAUUUAUGCAUCAUGACAACUCAAAGAUUAUGAGAAGAGGUAUCUUACUCAUGACCUAGAGUUAGCCGUGGUAGUUUUUGUCCUAAAAAUUUGGAGGCAUUACUUGUACGGGGAGAAGUGCGAGAUAUAUAAAGAUUACAAAAGUCUAAAAUAUAUUUUUAAACAAAAGGAGUUAAACUUAAGGUAGAGGAGAUGGUUAGAACUGAUAAAUGAUUUUGAUUGUGAAAUCUUAUAUCAUCUUGGUAAAGCCAAUGUCGUAGCUGAUGCUUUAAGUAGAAAGAAUCAAGAAAAAUUGAAAGCAAUAACCACCGAUGAUAGGUUAAUAAAAGAUUUUGAAAAACUAGAAAUUGAGGUGGAAUGUCCAAUUACCUUUACCCAAAAGUUAUUCAUUCUAGAGGAAGUUUCUUCUCUACUUGAUAGAAUCAAAGAGAUGCAGGAGAAUGAUGAAGAAUGUCAAAAAUGUAAGUCUAACAUAACUCAUAUUAAGAAUAAAAAAUUCAGAAUAAACAAGGAUGGAAUAAUAAGAUAUGAAGAUAGAAUUUGGGUUCCGUUAAAUCGAGCAUUAAAAGACGAAAUCUUAAACGAAGCUCAUAAUUCUAAAUUUACUAUACAUCCAUGAAGUUCUAAAAUGUACAAGGACUUAAGUCGACACUUUUGGUGGUCGAAUAUGUGACGCCCCCAAAUUCGGGUACUUUCAACCCACAGAUAUGGUGCUACAUGGUACUCAUAACUAUACAUUCAUUUUAUUGAAACAACAUCAAAAUGAUUGUAUUUACUACAUUCUUAUUAUAAUAAUAAUAAAUCAUUUCCCAGGUUUUGUUAACCAAAUACAUUCUUCGUUCGUCAUAGUAUAAUUCAUACAAACAUACUAGUCUAUUACAGGAUAUUCUACUUAUCCAUCUUAGCCUUGCCUUUAUCUUUACUAGAACCCUCAGUUCGCUCGGCCUUAGCUGUAAUUAUAUAAUUCAAGCAGGAAGUGAGCAUAACUAGCUCAGCAAGUCUAGCAAUAUAUAAUACAAAUAUCACGUUGAGAAUUAUAUGAUUAUUCUUCAUCAACUGAACAAGUAGUUAUGAAGUACUAUGAGACAGUAAAAUAACACUUUUCAUUUCAUAAAUUAAUUCCAGAGUACAUAUAGUAACUUAGGAAUUCUGAGCAGGUUAAAAGACCAUGAACAUCCUCUUUUGGUUUUCAUUCAUGAAAAAGGACAACCCAACACUAAGUCUGUAAGUUCGAUAUAUCUUAUGAGCACUUGUAGGUGAUCAGCUUAUAGUAAUCUAUGUUAAUCAACACUCAUUCAUUAAACAUAUUUACGUUUAAGUUUUGGCAACCUCACGUGCCCAUCGAAUAAUGGAUGUGAAAUACAUUUGUUUGUUCAUACUCAAGCUUACCUUGAAUCCGUACCAAACAAUUGGCAUAGGAUAGCGUUAACAAUACUAUAUCGAAAGACUUGUAAACAAAUCAAUCAAACUGUUAAGAUUAGUCUAGUCGAGUUAAAAUUGGCAUCGACUCUUUCAUAAAAUAAUUCAUGCAUCUCAUAACAUGAAUCACAGAAAACUUGGCUAACACGAAGGUUAGACAAGCAUUAAGAAAACUUUCCUUCAAGCAUCUUCAAUUAAAAUUCAAUAGUUCUUGAUCUUUACAGUUUCUACAUGAUAUAUUCACAUAGCACACUGCAAUUAUCUACCAAACUAUCUAAUCACAUUGUUUUUACCAACUUCUUUCUCUUUUAUAACUUAACUGAAUUUAUUUCAUUAAUAAAAGUCGUUUCGACAUUCUUAUCUUUCAUUACGGCUUAUUAACGUCCAUAUGUUCCUAAACCGACACUUGACAACAAUUGGUUAAAUACCAUAGUAAUUGAAUAUGAUUUACCCUUUCCCACUUCACAUUCUUUGUUUAAUUACUAUUAAACAACGUUCAUUUCCUAAAGUCAUCACUAUACAUGUGAUUUAAGAUUGGUCUUAUCAUGUAUACUAAGUAUAUACAUGCCCCAUCAUUGUUGAGUAAACAAUUGGGUUAAAAAAUAACCAAGUUAGAUAGUUCUUCUCUCCCGGCGCUGCGACGACAUCCUCAAGUACAAUGUUGGCGCUGCGGCGCCAACUAACAGUAGCCAACCCUCAUCUCGGCGCUGCAACGUGAGACUUCCUAUAUAUCAGUGGUGUUGUGGUGCCAUUUUGUAGUAGCUAAUCCCUCUUACCCGGCUCUGCGGUGCGAGAUUUAUAGCUUGGGGUGGUGCUGCGGCGCCUACCCUGAGCCUUUGUAUUUUUUUUAUAUUUUCCAAUUCAAUUCUUCCCGGACUCGUAAAUUAAUCGUUAUAAGUUGAAAUUGGCUCGUUCAAAAGUCGUUAUCUUACACAUUUCAUGUACUUUGAUUCCAUCCGGAUAAAAGCAGCUUUUAAAACCGUUAACAAUAGAUUCACUAUUUAACGUUCUAUUACACAUUCGUUUAACAUUCGUGAACGUUCAUAACUCGUUUUCUUCGUUUUAAGUCGGAAUUCAACCAUUCUUGAGUCCACAACUCUUAAAUACGUUGGUCUAUGUUACGCCAUCAAAAACUAGGGUUUUUGAGUUAAAUGACGACUUUUAACUACUAAUCUAGAAAUUCUAUGAUUUCAACGUUUAACGCCUAAUCUCGUAAAUUUCUCCAUAACUUCGUUACUCGAGUUUUAUAUGCUAAAUCAAAUGGAACCAAUCCAUUGAUCAUUGUCUAUAACCUAACCAAGCAAUAUGCACAUACCCUAUACUUGAUGGUUUUUAAUUUGUCCAUCAACAACCAAGUCAACAGUUAAUGGUUUUUCUUAGAUUAAACUUACUUAAACGCUUAUGAUUCAUACUUAUACAUGGCUUAUCAAUGCUUUAAUUCACUAAUAGCAAUCCUUAUUACUCCAGAAGAGACAUGCUCCACCAAUUCAUACUUCUCUAUGAAAAAUAAAUAAAAAAGGAUCGAAGACAAAGGUUUACGUAUUAUUACCUUAACGUUCUUCGCGUUCUUAAAUAAAACUUAAAUGUUUUGCUUUGAACUCACUUGAUUACUUGUUAGUGCUCUUUUCUCUCUCUCAAUAUAUGUUGGUCAAGUUUGUGAAACAACCAAAUGAACCAGCUUAGCUUCCUUUAUAUAGAAAAACCAAAUAGAGGGUAAAAUGGUCUUUCGGUGCACGUCCUUACUAUUCAUUGCUUAGCUACCAAGUAAAACUACUUAGCCUGGCCACCAAGUGACCGACCCAUAUGGCCUUUUGGGUCCCACAUAGAUUUUCCCAUGAGUUUUAUCCAUGUGGUGAUCCAUUGGGUUGAUCCGCGGUUCGGUUUCUCAGUUAGGGCUUAGGGUUAAAUCGUAUUGUGCUUAAUUUAACCUAACAUUGGGCUUUAAUAUAACUCAUUCUUGGGCUUCAUUCAUUUACUAAUUGGGCUUGACAAAGUCUACAUUUAAUAGCUAAAGUCCAUUAAGACUUCAUCGUAUACUACUCGUAUUAUUCUCGUAUUCUCUUCGUAUAUAAUUUGUACGAUAUUCGUAUUAUACGUCAUAAUAUUCUGUAUACUAUACUCGUAUACUAACUAGUAUCAUACUCGUAUUUCUCACGUAUAAUAACCAUAAUCAUUAUACAUAGUCAUUUCAUUCUCGAAACUCACUUUCCCUAACCCUUAGGUUUUAAGUCCGCAAGUAAAAUCCUCGUUUGCUAUAUCUGAAAUAUUAUUGGAUAUUCCGUCUCAUCUUAGAAUUCAGUCAUUAGACGUUUCUCAGAAAUUCAUAGUUAAAUCCCGAGCAGAAAUGGAUGAAUGGUGUUUUUACAAAAAAAAUUUGGAAAACUUUUAUUUUUGUCUUGAAAAUUCAAAACAAUUAAUCCUAACACAUAACCAGAAUCCUAAUCACAUCCGCACAUUCUAGGUCAUAGAACGGCCUUCAAACAGCUUACAUAAAUAAAUAAUUAAAUUCAUUUAAUUCAAAUAAUCAAAUAAAAUUUAAUUCACAUAAAAAUACGAUUUUCUCGGACGUUACAUUCUCACCCCUAUAAGGAUUCUGUCCCCAGAAUCUUGAUACAAUUACAUAAGUAAAUGGGGAAAAUUUUCCUUCAUUUUACUCUAGAGUUCCCACGUUGCUUCUUCGGCAUUGUGGUUCCUCCAAAUUACCUUCACCGAAGGUAUUAUCUUAUUUCUCAAAACUUAUUCCUUCAUAUCAACAAUCUGAAUUGGAAGUUAUUCAUAUGUUAAGUCUUUUUCUAUUUGAAUAGAUUCAUACUCUAUUACGUGAUUUUAGUCUGGUUUAUAAGGACGCAACACUAACACAUGAAAUACAUUGUGUAUACAUUCCAUCUCUGGAGAUAAACCUACUUCAUAAGCUACCUCACUUUACCCUUCUUAAAAUUUUAGAAGGUCCUAUAAACCUUGGACUUAACUUUCCUUUCUUUCUAAAACGUAUCUUCCCUUUCCAAGGCGGUACCUUCAGAAAGACAUAUGACCCUACCUCAAACUCCCUCUUCUCACGGUGAGGAUUUGCAUACUUCUUUUGUCUAUCUUGGGCCACUACCAAUUGAGUACGUAUUAACUCAGGUUCUAACAUCUGACGUUCACCUACUUUAUCCCAGCACAGUGGAGUUCUGCACUUCCUCCCAUAUAACACUUUGUAAGGCGGCAUGCCUAUACUAGCGUGAAAACUAUUAUUAUAACCGAAUUCCACCAAAGGCAGAUGUUCGUCCCAACUCCCCUUGAAAUCCAUAACGCAAGAUCUUAACAUAUCUUCUAGCGUUUGAAUUAUCUGUUCACUUUGUCCAUCCGUUUCAGGAUGAUAUAUUGUACUCAACUUCAACUGCGUUCCUAGUUGCUCUUGCAAACUUCUCCAAAAAUUUGAUGUGAAUCGUGAAUCACGAUCUGACAUAAUCAAAAUUGGUACUCCAUGUCUUAAAAUAAUUUCUUUUACAUAAAGUUUAGCCAAUUGCUCUAGGUUAUACCUAACUCCUAUUGGUAAGAAGUGAGUCAAUUUUGUCAACCGAUCCACUAUUACCAAAUAGCAUCGUAUCCCUUCCUUGUCGUUGGAAGUCCCACCACAAAGUCCAUUGUGAUAUGCUCCCAUUUUCACUCUAGAAUCUCUAGUGAUUGCAAUAAUCCACUCGGUCGUUGGUUUUCAGCCUUAAUUUUUUGAUAAGUUAAGCACUUACUAACAUAUUCUGCUCUCUCUCUCUUCAUGUUUGGCCACCAAAAGUUUUGUCGAAGGUCUUAAUACAUCUUAGUACUACUUGGAUGUAUCGAGUACCUCGAACUAUGGGCCUCACUCAUUAUCUCUUCUUUUAACUCGAAAUUAUCUGGAACCCAAAUUCUUCCUUCAAAACAAAGUAAUCUUUCCUUAUCAAGGUUAUACUUAGCCUUCUCUUCAUCCUCCAUCCUCUUCUUCAUUCGUUCACAGUCCUCCUUACCUAAUUGUACUUCUUUAACUUGUUCCAUUAUGGUUGAUUGAGUCUCCAUUGUGAAUAACAUCUCUACCGCUUCACUUGGUACUUUAACUUCUAGCUCCAUUCUUGCCAUCUUCGUUAUUAACUCAUUCUGAGUCGUUAACAUUGAUACCGUUUCCCUACCCUUCCUAAUUAAUGCGUCGGCUACUACAUUUACUUUUUCUGGAUGAUAUAAGAUUUCACAAUCAUAAUCUUUUAUCAAUUCUAACCACCUUCUUUGCCUCAUAUUUAACUCUUUCUGUGUGAAGAUAUAUUUCAGACUUUUAUGGUCCGUGUAUAUUUCACACUUCUCCCCGUAUAAAUAAUGUCUCCAUAUUUUUAAGGCAAAAACUACAGCUGCCAAUUCUAGGUCAUGAGUAGGAUAAACUUUCUCAUAAUCCUUCAGCUAGCGUGAUGCAUACGCAAUGACCUUGCCAUGCUGCAUGAGCACACAACCCAGUCCUCUAUGCAAAGCAUCGCUAUAAAUUACAAAAUUCCCCGUAUCAUCUGGUAAGGAUAAUACAUGUGCCUCACUUAACCUCCUUUUUAGUUCCUUAAAACUAUUCUCACACUUCUCAGUCAACACAUACUUCACAGACUUGCUCGUCAAAUUCGUCAACAGAGUAGCUAUUUUAGAAAAGUCCUGGAUGAACCUUCUAUAGUAUCCCGCUAACCCCAGAAAACUAUGAACCUCAGUUAGCAUUUUCGGUUGUUCCCAAUUAGUAAUUGCUUCCACUUUCGCUGGAUCCACAGAAAUGCCAUUUUUAUCAAUAACAUGUCCUAAAAACUGCACUCUUUCAAGCCAAAAUUCACACUUAGUGAAUUUCGCAUAUAACUUCUCCCUCCGUAGCAUUUCCAACACUAUUCUCAAAGGUUCGGCUUGAUCUUUUGGCCUCUUAGAAUAUACUAAAAUAUCAUCAAUAAACACUAUGACAAACUUGUCCAAAUAUUGGUUAAACACUCUGUUCAUCAUAUUCAUAAAUACGGCUGGUGCAUUAGUCAACCCAAACGACAUAACCAAAAACUCGUAAUGACCAUAAUGAGUUUUGAACAUAGUCUUAGGUACAUCCUCCUUUCUUACUUUCAACUGAUAGUACCACGUACGCAAAUCUAUCUUAGAAAAAUACUUUGCCCCUUUCAACUAAUCAAAUAGAUCAUCGAUCCUGGGCAAUGGGUAUUUAUUCUUAAUCGUUAACUUGUUCAACUCUCGAUAGUCGAUACGAAGUCGUAACGACCCAUCCUUCUUCUUUAAAAACAAUACCGGUGCUCCCCACAGAGACACACUCGGUUGAAUUUACGUCAUUUCUACCGAAGCCAUCCUAUAUGGUGCCCUAGAAAUUGGUGUCGUACCUGGUAACAAAUCAAUCACAAAUUCGACCUCCUUAUCUAGCGGAAGACCUGGUAACUCAUCUAGAAAUACAUCCAUAAACUCUUAUACUAUAGUUAUCUAUUCCAAUGAUGCGUCCACUCUCUGGGUAUCCACAACAUGACAUAGAUAUCCUAUAAAUCCCUUCCUCAACAUCUUCCUAGCUUGUGUCAUGGUUAGACAACAAGAGCGUCCCGAUGAUUUACUACCAUAGAACACUACCUUGGGUUUCUUAGAAAGCCGAAGGUUCACACUUUUCCUAUGACAAUCUAUUAUAGCCUUAUGGUUAAUCGACCAAUCCAUACCGAGAAUUACAUCGAAUUCUAUCAACUUUAUCAGUAUUAAAUCUACCGAUAAUUUGUUACCUCUAAUAUCUACGCAAAAAUUCCUAUGAAUGUGUUCAAUAGGAAUUAUCUCUUCGUUUGCUACCUUAACGUCUGAAGGUAUUUCUAAUCUUUCUGGGAAUAAACCUAAUCGCUUAGCAAAUUCACAUGCUAUAAAAGAACAAAUAGCACCCGAAUCAAAUAACACAUAAGCAUUUAUUUCAUUGACUGGAAUGAUACCUGCUACUACAUCCGCUGAUGCAACCGCAUCUUGGACAGUCAUAUUAAAAGUACGGGUCGUGGGUCUACUCGACGAUGGUAUUGGUCCAGUAAUGGCUAACUUACCACUACUAGCACCCUUCUUACCCUCUUACCCCUUUUUUGGGCAAUUUCUUGCCAUAUGGUCCAUCGACCCACAAACAAAAUAGCCAUGGUUCUUCUUAGGAUUAGGAUAAUUGGGUGAUAUAUGACCCUCCUACGCGUAAUUGUAACAAACCGACUCCCCCUUAAGGUAGACUCCUAAAUGAGUCUUUUCGCAUGUCUUGCAUACUUUGAUCCUACGUUUAGGAUUCUCGUAUUUUACUCCAGUAUUCUCGGAGUUAAAAAUCUUCCUCUUGGGCAUACUUCCACUACCACUAGCUCCCUCUGCCUUGGAUCCUCCCUCUCCUUUUCUCUUAUUCUUUCUCUCUUUGUGGUAUUGGUUCAAAGCCUCACUACCACUCUCUGCAAUAAUUGCUUUCUCCAGAAUGGUUCUAUAUGAAGCACUCUGAAAAAUGGAAAUCCUACUAUAGAGCCAAGGUUUCAGUCCCUGCUCAAACCUACGAGCCUUCCUCUCCUCAGUGUCCACUUGAUGUGGAGCAAACCUUGCCAAUUCAUUGAAUUUGGCUGCAUACUGGGGAACCGUCAUGUCCUCUAGUUUAAGUUCUAAGAACUUAAUUUCCAUUCUCCCCUGCAUGCUUGUAGGAAAAUAGUUCUCGAAGAAAACCUUCUUAAACUGUUCCACGUAACAGAAUCGGUUCUAGCCCCACCCUGGUGAGCCUCCCACCAGAAGUUGGCUUCUCCUGUAAUAACUUAAUAUUUUCGAUAUAAUUAAAUAAGAAAUUUUGCGUAUAAUUUUUUUUAAAAAAAAUAUAAGGUGGGAAUAUGUGCAAGGUAAAGUUUAUGUAUAUAUGUGAUAAAUAAAUUUUGUUUAUUACAUGAAUAAUUGCAAAUAAUAUUUUCUUAAGAAUUAUUGAUCAUUAUAAAUUAUAUUUUUAUAAUAAAUUAAUUUUGUAAUAAAAAUAUGGUUAUUAUCUAUUUUCCAUGAAAAUAUGAUUUUGGUAUUAUUUAUUAUAAUAUAUGAUUAUUAUAAUUAUUAUAAUAACUAUUUUUUUAUAUGAAUUUAUUCUGAUUAGUUAAGUUAAUUGUUUUUACUUAAUGGUAUAUACGCAAGUUAUGUUGGAUAUGGAUUCAAAACCCUAAUUCUGGAUUUUGAAUAAGGAAUGAGAAUAAUAAUAUAAUAUUAAUUAUAUUUCAGUGCUAUAAAUAUGUACUGUAUGUGUGUAUUGAUCAUGGUUGGUCAAUUAUGGUGAAACAAUAGAAAACCUAGUAUUAUUGUGGUAAACCCUAAUUUGAAACUCAAAUCGGAGUUUAUGUAACCAUCCAGAAUUUUAAAUUAUAAUUUCAAAUAUUUAUUGAAUUAUAUAAAUAAUUAAUUGAUGUGUUUAUUGUUGAAUAAAUAUUUGUUUAAUUUGAUUUGAUUUGAUUAUUUAUUUAUUAAAUAAAUAAUUAAUGAGUGAAGGAAAUUAAUUAUUAUGAGAUAAUAUUCUAAUUUAAUUUAAUAAUUAAAUUAGAGAGUUGAUAGGGAUUAAAUGGAUUAUUAUAAUAUUUUUAAUUUAAUUUGGUAAUAAAAGUGUGACAAUAAACUAUGUUAUAAAUGAGUUAUAAAAUAAAAUUAAAGUAGUUUUAAAUUAAUUUAGUUUUGUCAAACAAGGCUUAAAGAUAUUAAGUCUUUAAUUUUUAAAGAGUUUUUGCCAAACAAAAUCUUAUGGCUUUUGAAUUUUGAAUUUUAAUUAAAAUAAAUAAUAUAUAUUAAAUUUUGGUAACUGAUAACUUAUUAGUAUAUUUAUUUUAACGUCGGUUUUAGACGUUUGGGUGUGUGCGUUGAGUUGAGUUUUAUUUUACGUAAAAAAACAUUUGGCCUAAGCCUAAGAAGAAAGGAAGAAAGAAAGAAUACAGAGAAUUUGAGAGAGACUAGAGAGAGUUAAGAGGAGAGAAAGGUUCUGUGAUUUGCAAGCACUUUGUCUUCUAAGAAGGGUUAACUAAGCAAGAGAAGGUAUUUUUUUACAUAACCUUAAUAUUAUAUGUUUUACGACAUAAUUCCUAAGUUCUGUGAAUUCCAUUUUUUUUGAAUUGUUGUUAUAAACUAAAUUAUGGUAUUCAUAUGUAUUUGUGAUGUUAGAACUAACAUCUAGAUAAGGAUUUAGUGUACCAAUUACUUUCUUUACGUUCAAAAAUAAAAAAAUAGUUUACAGUGAAUAUGUGUAUGAGCAUGGCUUGUAGGAGUACCAAAAUUGAUAGUUGAUUGUGAACUAAUAGGUAAAUUAAGCCUUGAUUGUAUUAAUUCAUUAAAUAAUGAAGAGAACGUAGUUUGAAUAAGUUAAUAUGGUGUACAAUGGUGAUCACAGUGUUAAUUUAGUCAACAAUGUCAAAAAUGGAGUUUUUGGUUUAAAACAUGGCAUUCAAGGAUUUAAAUUUCCUGAAGUUGUUGUUUAGUUGUUUUAAAUCAGUAUUUAUAUGAUGGGUAAUGUUUAUGUGUAAUCUAUGUAAGUUAUACGUGUUAAAUUGGGUGCUAGAAAUUAAGAUUAGCUUUGUUUCUGUUCUUCGUGACAAGUUUUGUAAUUCGGCGCCGCAGUGCAAACUCUAGGCCUGCGCCAUCACCGCGCCGCAGCGCCGUCCCCUGUAUAAACUAUGACGCCGCAGCGUCGGUUAGCAGAAUGGCCAGAAAGUGUAUUUUAAUUACACAAAUUCUGUAAUUUUGAUAUGGUGCAAUAUUAUGACUAUUAAAAUGUAAUUUUUGUUAAUUGUGGUAUUAUAGUGCUAAGAAUGAGAAUUUUAUUAACAAUUAGCGAGUUUUAUUAUUACAUUACUAGUGUAAUUUGAUUAUGUGGUUAAAAAAUCAAGCCAUACAUGAAGUAGACACUUAAUUGUAUACAGAGUAUAUAUAGUAACUAAUUAUGUCAUGAUGACAUGUGUAUAUGAUAUUGUGAAUCGAAUUAUUACGGUUUAGCUUACACGCAAGGCAAGUUUUCUAACCCUAAACUUUCUUUAAGCAAAUUCUCUAACUCUAUUGUUAUGAUUGUGCAAGUUUCUUAACUCUAAUUAUAUUAUGCAAACUUCUAAACCUUACCUCUUGAUAUUGAGCCAGUUUUUCUAAUCUUUAACUUGUUUCUUAGUAUGCAAGUUUUUUGACUCUGAUGCACUUAUGUUGAACAAGUUUUAUAGUUCAAAUUACCAUUUAUUAUGCAUGCUCAAUACUCAAUUCUAAACAAAAUUCUAUCUAUAGCUUAAUAUUGUUCAAGCAAGUUAUGUUAUGUUAUUCAAUGCUUAUGCUUUUAGCUUAUUUCUAAAGCAUGACCUUAAUAUAUAAUGUUGAUUUAUUUAUGACUUAUUCCAUAAAAUAUUGUUAUUACAUUCUUAUUCAACUAAUCCUUAGUUGAUGUUCGUUAAACUCUAAAUUACCUUGAAACUUAUCCAAACUAAACUUAAUUUGGCGCGGACUUGUAUUCUAAAUACUGAGAUGAACAACCCUAUUACAGGGGAUAAUUUACGCAUAGCAUUUAAAUGUUUGUGCACAAUAAAUUGUACAAAGGGCUGAUCCCCUUAAGUACGAGGAGUCCCUAUAGUCUUAUGAGUGUUAAAGUUUAAGUUGAAAGAAUACUUAUAACUAUGGACAUAGUUCGUGGUCUUUUGACCCUCAGAUAUAUAUUUCAAAUUCUGUUCCUGAUUAUUAUUGAUUAAGCACAUUAUUCAGUUCUAUUGAGUCUAUUCGUUUGACAGUUGAUAUGAUUUUUAUUCAUUGUCAUUUAAAGUGAGCAUUAUUUGCUCACUCUUGUUUAUAUAAAUAUUACAGCUAAAGUUGAGAAGGUCGAUGAACCUACCACCAAUAAAGGAAAAGAAAAGAUGAACAAGUGUUGAAGACAUGUAAAUCUAUUGAAUUCUAUAUUGUUAGACUUUAUUUUAGUUGUUGAGAUGUAAUUAUUUAUUUUCCGCACUUGAUGUUUGUAUUUAAAGGUUAGAUAACCUAGGAGAUUUUAUUGAACUUAUUGAUGUAAUCCUUCAAUGGGAAGGUUUAUUAUAAAAUUUUAUUAUGUUUGGGUAGUUAGACAUGAAUAUUUUUAUCAAGUGAACACCAAAUCUUGUGGGAAUGAAGUACCCGGAUUUGGGGGUGUCACAAUUUAAGAUUGGUAAGAAAUUAUGUUAUGUGAUUAAUUACAAUUAUAAUAAAUAUUAACCCUAAUUAGGGAAAACCCUAAUUAGUAAUGAGAAACCCUAAUUACUAAAUUAGGAACUAUAAUUGCUAAAAUAAAAACCCUAAUCGCUAAAUUAGAAAGCUUAAUGCUAAUUAGUGGAUCUUAAACCUAAUUAGCAAGUUCUAAGUAAUUAGGAAACUUAACAUAAUAAGGAAACUCUAAUUUCCAAAAUUAGAAAGUUGAAUUUUUAUUUUAAACCCUAAAUAAAAUCCUAGAAAAAUUUAUUUUUUCAAUCUUAAGUGUAAGACCCCGAAUUUUAUGAAAUAAAAGUAUUCAAUUUUUUCUUAUAAUUAUUAUUCAGUAAAUGGUUAAAUUGAUAAAAAGUUAAAGUUAAGGGUGAUAUAUGUAAAGUUUACAAAAUAUGCAAGUGGUUAUAAAAUACUCAUUUUUGUCGGGGAAUAUACGUUUGGUCGGGGAAUAUUCUUGUUGUCGGGGAAUAUUCGUACGACGGCGCAACCAUUUGUGGGCACCAUAACAGAAUAACUGUCGGAUGAAGAAAAUGACAAGUUUGAGUUUUAUAAAUAACGGCGUAGUUGUUACCGUUAACACUGUUGGAAUACUUGGUGAUUAAAAUACAGUAAUACGCGUGGUUGCACAGUAGCACACGGCAUUGCACAGUAUUUUUGAAUUAUUGAUUCUUACGUAUGAAGGCACUACUCAAUAAUUAUUACAGUAAUUACUAUUCAAUAUUUUAUUUUAUUGAUUCAAUAAUUGCUGCGUUGAUAUUUUAUAUUAUUGUUGUUUCAAUAAUUGUCGCUGCAUAGUAUUUUCCAUUAUCAGAUCAAUAAUUCAUAUUAUUUGAAUAAUAUUAUUAGAUAGCAUUAUUGGCAAUGUCUAGAAAGUUCUGUCAAGGAGAGGUUUGGUCACCUAAUUGCGCGCCAGUAAGGAGAAAUCCUUAUUGGAAAGCCCCCUCUUUCUUGGGAAUGGCCUGGUUGUCAUUAUUUUGAUUUUGUAAUAUUAUUUGUGAAUAAUUAUUUAUUGAUUUAUAUGAUAAGAAAUAUAUAUUUUUAUAUGGAUAUAAAUGAAGGAAUUAAAGCUGAGGUGUUUUAUUAGUAUUUUGUCGAAAAGAAGAACAAAAUAUGGGAUUUUUAAAAAAUUAGUUUAUUACUUGAUUUUGUAAAAUCUAUAACUCUUUGUGUAUAAUGAGUUAGGAGAUGAGUCAUAUAUCAAAAGAAAGCCCUGGAAAUAAGCUAAACGUAGAAACUGGAAUCACCCAAAAAUUCAUUGUGAAUUUUUCAUAGUGACUGUUUGAAUGAAACUGGUACGAAGGACUCAUAAUCCGAAAAAAAAAAAUCAGUAUUCUUGAGAUAUAUUGCAUGCGUUAUAAUUUUUAAUCCGACCGUUGGAUCGUUGUGAUUUUUGGAUAUGUUAUACAUAUAUAAGUUGAGUAUAUGUCCACAAAUUUUGAACCGUUAAACAUUAACGUAUGAUUUGUUAUGAAUUUUAAGAGGUAACUGAUUCAAAAAUUAUGUUUAUAAAUGAUUUUUGGUGGAAAAUUCUAGAAUGAGUGGGCCCCACCUUUGGUUGAGGAGAAAUGUGCUCAAAUUUUAUUUUAAAUGUUGUGGGUGGCAAUAGUAGCAGGUAAAUCCAUCAGGUAGCAGGUCAAGUCUGCUUCGGCGUGCUAGCAUUUUUCUAUAAAUAGGUGCUUAGGUUAGAAUUGAAAAUCACACCAAAAACAUAAGCUUUCUCUCUCUAUAUUAUCGAGCGUAUUUUGUGAGUAUUUUGAUACUUUGAGAGUUGCUAAUCAGUGCAAGUUUCAUUCAGCAUCAUAUUCGAUAAUUUAGUCAGAAGUACUGCUCUUUUGAGGUAAGGGAUAUUGUCAUUAUUAUGGUAAGGGAUAGUAAGGGAUUAUAACGGAUUGUAACGGAUGUUAUUUUCUUCUUAAAUGAUAUAAUUUUCUUCAAUAUCAUUACGCCAAAUUAUUGAUAUGAGUUUUAUUGUGAAAUUUCUACAUUUUUCUGUCAGGGUUACUAUUCACGUAUACGACACUAUUCACAUAUAUGACACUAUUCAUGUAUAUGGCACUAUUUACGUAUGUGACAUUACUUACGUAUUUGGUACUAUGUACGAAUACAAAGUACUAUUCAUAAGUUACUAUUCACGAGUUACUAUUCUUUUUUCUGACCAAAUUAUCGUUGAUUUAUGAAUCUUACUCUUGAAAUUAAAUCCAUGUUUUGAUCAUAUUAUUUUUAUUAUCAUAUAUAACAAUUUUAUAAUCCUGGUUAAGAAAUUUCUCUUUGACGUAAAUGUAAAGAUGGGUAGAUUAUUGGUAUGAUUGUGAUAUGGGUUCUCUUUGGCCAGUAGUGCAAAGUUGAAUCAUUGACUAGUAUGAUCAUGACCAUUGAAUUUACAAUUGAAUAUUUUUAGCUUAAGUGCAAAGGUGAAUUGAUCGACAUGGUUAUAAUUAUGGUUUAUAUAAAUUCUGAAAUGAUUAUGUAUUUCUUUGAGAUAUUAAUAUCUUUGGCUUGUAGUGCAAAGAUGAAUUGUUGUUGAAUAUCUUUGGCCCGUAGUGCAAAGAUGACCAGUUGUUGAAUAUCUUUGGCCUAUGGUGCAAAGAUGACAUGUUGAAUAUCUUUGGCCCGUAGUGCAAAGAUGACCUGUUGCUGAGUAUCUUUGGCCUGUAGUGCAAAGAUGAACUGUUAAUGAAUAUCUUUGGCCCAUAGUGCAAAGAUGAACUUAUUAGUAUGAUUAUGAACAGGAACUGUGAUUUGGUAUAACCAUGAUCUUUGAUGUUUCAGGUAAAGACAAGUGAUGUAAAUUAUCUUCGUCCUGGAUGAGAAGUGGUAUUUAGAACCAUAAAUAUGAUUAUGAGUUAUUCACAUGAUUGUGAACAGGAACUAUUGAUUGUUGUUACAGGGAUAAAACAUUGUUGGUGGACUUUUAACAUGAAGAAGAUAAUAGACUUUAUGGUCUAUUUGACUCUUCUAAUGGAUUGCCCAUUCCGCUGGAACUAUGGUUGAAAAGUUUUAUCAUCUACUAUAUGUUCUAAAUCUCUGAUUUAUUAUUGACGAAAGCUAUUGAUAAUUUAAUUAUCUUUAAUUAUGAUAUUCUUUACUGGGCUAUUUGUGCUCACCCUUUUGCUUCACAAUUCCUUUCAGGUAACAAGAGUGUAGCUGGGUCGAGCGGGGGUAACAGGGGAAUAGAACGGUGGUCAAUAACUGUUGAGGUUUUCCCUGAAUAGUAUGAAAAUAAUUUUAUUGAGAACUUUAGAUAAGUGUGUCGUAUUGUAUACGUCAUUUGAUAUUUAAUUUUGUUGAACCGAAUAGGGUGAGGUGAACCCAACUUUGGAAGGGUGUUUUGCCACUAUCAUACAAGAUGUCUAAUGACCUACGAGUUAACAUAAGACAUGGUUGUGCACAUCCACUUGCUGAGUAUAUCUACGAGCACUACCUAUAUAAUCUUGGAGUUUGGUUGAAAUAUAAUUUUCAAUUGCAGACAGUGGAGAUAGUUAUAUGUCAAGAGAAGACUCACCAUUGGAAAGAACAUGAUAGUAAUCUUCUCAUUUUUCUUUAUGGUCUAUUGGGUCAACCAAGGAUAAUUUUGUGCGCAUAUGAUAUCUAUCAUAACCUAGACGCAUGGCCUCCCAUGUACGAAGGUUUCCUUGAGCACUUCCCAAAGAUUUUAAUUUCUAAAACAGUUAUUGAUUACACCUUUAUGUAAUGUAUCAAUGUGAGGUGCUGACAUAAUUUGGUGUCUAGAGUCACAGUUGGCAUUUAAACUCACAGUAUGUGUGUUGUCAUAUUUUGCAUGAAAAUUGUAUUAAUAAAGUUGUAGUUGUUUUCUGUACCAUGUAUUUGGCGACUCAGAAUGGGUUGGAUGGAUUAGACCUAUUUUUGGGGCGUCACAGUUGGUAUCAGAGCUAUAAGUAAAGAGCCUCGAGCCUCUCUCUGGUGACUUCCUUGUGUGGGAUGCACUAAAGCCAGACUCUCCGUAGGGGACGUCGUUCUGCCGUGGCAAACUGAUAGGUAUCACUGUAAGGUAUUGUCCACGGUUGGGACAUGAGUCAUAAUUAGUAUCUGAGCUUAGGGAUACGAUCUCUGGCGGAGAUCCGGGAUUAGAACUAGGAAGGGAGAGACGAGUAAUAUCCUUCACUAGUGUGUGUCCUACCUAAGCUGAAUUUUCUUACUUAAGUUGACAAAUUGUGAUAUGUCAAUUAACCUUUGUUUUAAAGCUGUAAUCUAGAAUGAUAUCUGAAAUAUAGGAGAUGAGCAAUGGAGAAAUCAUGAUGACAGGGAAGAUGGAAUCUGAAAUGAAAGCAAGGUAUUCUCAACUCUUUGAAAUACCAGGUACGUAAAUUUCGGGGAUGAAAUUUCAUAAGGAGGGGAGAUUGUAAGACCCCGAAUUUUAUAAAAUAAAAGUAUUCAAUUUUUCUUAUAAUUAUUAUUCAAUAAAUGGUUAAAUUGAUAAAAAGUUAAUGUUAAGGGUGAUAUAUGUAAAGUUUAUAAAAUAUGCAAGUGGUUAUAAAAUACUCAUUUUUGUCAGGGAAUAUUCGUUUGGUCGUGGAAUAUUCUUGUUGUCGGGAAAUAUUCAUACGAUGGCACAACCAUUUGUGGGCACCAUAACAGAAUAACUGUCGGAUAAAGAAAACGACAAGUUUGAGUUUUAUAAAUAACGGCGUAGUUGUUACCGUUAACACUGUUGGAAUACCUGGUAGUUAAAAUACAGUAAUACGCGUGGUUGCACAGUAGCACACGGUAUUGCACAAUAUUUUUGAAUUAUUGAUUCUUAUGUAUGAAGGCACUACUCAAUAAUUGUUACAGUAAUUACUAUUCAAUAUUUUAUUUUAUUGAUUCAAUAAUUGUUGCGUUGAUAUUUUAUAUUAUUGUUGUUUCAAUAAUUGUCACUGCAUAGUAUUUUCCAUUAUCAGAUCAAUAAUUUAUAUUAUUUGAAUAAUAUUAUUAGAUAGUAUUAUUGACAAUGUCUAGAAAGUUAUGUCAAGGGGAGGUUUGGUCACCUAAUUGCGCGCCAGUAAGGAGAAAUCCUUAUUGGAAAGCCCCCUCUUUCCUGGGAACGGCCUGGUUGUCAUUAUUAUGAUUUUGUAAUAUUAUUUUUGAAUAAUUAUUUAUUGAUUUAUAUGAUAAUAAAUAUAUAUUUUUAUAUGGAUAUAAAUGAAGGAACUAAUGCUGAGGUAUUUUAUUAGUAUUUUGUCGAAAAGAAGAACAAAAUAUGGGAUUUUCAGAAAAUUAGUUUAUUACUUGAUUUUGUAAAAUCUAUAACUCUUUGUGUAUAAUGAGUUAGUAGAUGAGCCAUAUAUCAAAAGAAAGCCCUAGAAGUAAGCUAAACAUAGAAAUUAGAAUCACCAAAAAAUUCAUUGUGAAUUUUUCAUAGUGACUGUUUGAAUGAAACUGGUACGAAAGGCUCAUAAUCCAAAAAAAAUCAGUGUUCUUGAGAUAUAUUGCAUGAGUUAUAAUUUUUAAUCCGACUGUUAGAUCGUUGUGAUUUUUGGAUAUGUUAUACAUAUAUAAGUUGAGUAUAUGUCCACAAAUUUUGAACCGUUAAACAUUAAUGUAUGAUUUGUUAUGAAUUUUAAGAGGUGACUGAUUCAAAAAUUAUGUUUAUAAAUGAUUUUUGGUGGAAAAUUCUAUGCAUCUUAUGUGAGCUCUUUGUUUUCUUUGAGCUGAUUAACCAUUUUCCAAUCCACUCAAGUAAUAGAGCCCCAUAGUUGAGUUGUAUUUUGUAACAUAUGGCAGUCAUGAGUUUGAGUUGUACCUCAUUCACAGAGUCAUGACCUGAUCUCUUACAGCAUAUUCAUUUUCCAACAAUAUCAGCUAGAAACUCAUACCUCUGUGGAAACUCCUUCUUUUUGUAUCCUUUGACAGAGGGUGAUUUCUUGUGAUGCAUCUUCUUGAGACCUUUAUGGAAGUCUAUUCCAUCUAAGGAUGGAUACCCUUCAGAUUUGAGCCCUAGGGCUAAAUUGAUGUCUUCAGCUUUUAGCCUGAUUUGGACAUUCCUUACUUUUGCCGUGAUAGUGUUGUUUUCAAAUACCCCGUUAUUGUAAAACUCUUUUACCAGCUUUAGGUAGAUCAAUGUGUCCGUACCCAAGGCUUCUUCGAGACCUGCUUUCUUCAGUAGUGACAACGUCUUGUGAAAUUGGGGUUCAACUGUUUUAAACUUGUCAAAAUAGAGUCUGUAGCUGGAGACAACACUGGAAGCUGCCAUUGAUUUCUUUGUAGGAAGUGAGACUGACUGAGCUUGCUACUGAUUUUAGGGUUUCUUCUUGAGAGAGGAAGAGAGAGAUAGUCUUUUGAACUUCAGAUUUCAAAUACGUAUGUGACAUUACUUACGUAUUUGGUACUAUGUAUGAAUACAGAGUACUAUUCAUGAGUUACUAUUCAUGAGUUACUAUUCACAACAAAAUUGGUUUCUUUUUUCUGACCAAAUUAUCGUUGAUUUAUGAAUCUUACUCUUGAAAUUAAAUCCAUGUUUUGAUCAUAUUAUUUUUAUUAUCAUAUAUAACAUUUUUAUAAUCCCGGUGAAGAAAUUUCUCUUUGACUUAAGUGUAAAGAUGGGUAGAUUAUUGGUAUGAUUGUGACUAUGGGUUCUCUUUGGCCAGUAGUGCAAAGUUGAAUCAUUGACUGGUAUGAUCAUGACCAUUGAAUUUACAAUUGAAUAUUUUUAGCUUAAGUGCAAAGGUGAAUUGAUCAACAUGGUUAUAAUUAUGGUUUAUAUAAAUUCUGAAAUGAUUAUGUAUUUCUUUGAGAUAUUAAUAUCUUUGGCUUGUAGUGCAAAGAUGAAUUGUUGUUGAAUAUCUUUGGCCCGUAGUGCAAAGAUGACCAGUUGUUGAAUAUCUUUGGCCUAUGGUGCAAAGAUGACAUGUUGAAUAUCUUUGGCCCGUAGUGCAAAGAUGACCUAUUGCUGAGUAUCUUUGGCCUGUAGUGCAAAGAUGAACUGUUAAUGAAUAUCUUUGGCCCAUAGUGCAAAGAUGAACUUAUUAGUAUGAUUAUGAACAGGAACUGUGAUUUGGUAUAACCAUGAUCUUUGAUGUUUCAGGUAAAGACAAGUGAUGUAAAUUAUCUUCGUCCUGGAUGAGAAGUGGUAUUUAGAACCAUAAAUAUGAUUAUGAGUUAUUCACAUGAUUGUGGACAGGAACUAUUGAUUGUUGUUACAGGGAUAAAACAUUGUUGGUAGAAUUUUAACAUGAAGAAGAUAAUAGACUUUAUGGUCUAUUUGACUCUUCUAAUGGAUUGCUCGUUCCGCUGCAACUAUAGUUGAAAAGUUUUACCAUCUACCAUAUGUUCUAAAUCUCUGAUUUAUUACUGACGAAAGCUAUUGAUAAUUUAAUUAUCUUUAGUUAUGAUAUCCUUUACUGGGCUAUUUUUGCUCACCCUUUUGCUUCACAAUUCCUUUCAGGUAACAAGAGUGUAGCUGGGUCGAGCGGGGGUAACAUGGGAAUAGAACGGUGGUCUAUAGCUAUUGAGGUUCUCCCUAAAUAGUAUGGAAAUAAUUUUAUUGAGAACUUUAGAUAAGUGUGUCGUAUUGUAUACGUCAUUUGAUAUUUAAUUUUGGUGAACCGAAUAGGGUGAGGUGAACCCAACUUUGGAAGGGUGUUUUGCCACUAUCAUACAAGAUGUCUAAUGACCUACAAGUUAUCAUAAGACAUGGUUGUGCACAUCCACUUGCUGAGUAUAUCUACGAGCACUACCUAUAUAAUCUUGGAGUUUGGUUGAAAUAUAAUUUUCAAUUGCAGACAGUGGAGAUAAUUAUAUGUCAAGAGAAGACUCACCAUUGGAAAGAACAUGAUAGUAAUCUUCUCGUUUUUCUUUGGGGUCUAUUGGGUAAACCAAGGAUAAUUCUGUGGGCAUAUGAUAUCUAUCAUAACCUAGACACAUGGCCUCCCUUGUACGAAGGUUUCCUUGAGCACUUCCCAAAGAUUUUAAUUUCUAAAAUAGUUAUUGACUGUACCUUUAUGUAAUGUAUCAAUGUGAGGUGCUGACACAAUUUGGUGUCCAGAGUCACAGUUGGCAUUUAAACCCACAGUAUGUGUGUUGUCAUAUUUUGCACGACAAUUGUUUUAAUAAAGUUAUAGUUGUUUUCUGUACCAUGUAUUUGGAGACUCAGAAUGGGUUGGAUGGAUUGGAUCUAUUUUGGGGUCAUCACAUUAGGGUUCAACCCUAAGGUUAAACCCUAAAGGUCAAACCCUAAGGGUUUAUCGAGUUACAAUUUAGCCAUUAAAAUCACAAGCCAAAUGACCAAACUACCCCUCUUGCAUUAUUGUUAGCUAACUUAUAAAUUUUUCCAACACUUUAGUUGGUGGCCAACUUUUGACUUCUCAUGUGAUUAUAAUAUACACUUAUCAAACAUUAAAUCUCAGCCAAUUUAUUGCAUACAUUAUAUAUAGAAUUAGAGAGAGAAAAGUCCAUUAUUUAACCCAUUUGUUCAUCAUAUACUCAACCAACUUUCUCUCUACAAACCCAUUAAAAUCUUUAGCAUUUCAGUCCCUUAGUAAGUCCCUACUACCUCCAUUAACAAAUCAGAAGCUUAGAAUCAAACAUUAUUCAAGAAAGGUAUAAAACCCUAGAACCAAAAUUUGAGCUUGGUUGCUAUGUUAAAUGUUAUGUUUUUAUGUUUAAAAGUGUUGUAUGUUAUGUUAAUAAAUGAUAUGGGUUGGUACUUAGUGGAUCUAUAACAUCUAGAUACAUGAAAUUAAAGUUUUCAAAAAUCUGGAAAAUUUUUAAAAUGUGUCUGACGGUCAAAUGUCAGUAGAUCUUUGUCUGUUUAUAUUUUUAGUUUUUUAAAUGUUUGAAGUUGUAGUAUGACAUGAGGACUUGGAUCUGGAACUUGAAUCAGGGUCAGAUCUGAUAUAUAUUAUAAUUUAUUCAUGGUCAAAGUCGGUUGACCGACCAUGACCAAAUAAAUCUGGGUAACCCAGGUGUUACCCAGAACGUUCUGACAGUAUGUUCGUGGCCAUAAAUCUUUCAUGUUUGUGAUGAUUUGGUUUUGUUGUUGUAUACAUGUUAGAGUAUGUUUUAUGGACUUCGUAUUCAAGCCUUUAAAUCACCUAGAUAACAAACAGGUUGGAUUUAGUGGCCAGUCAAAGUAGCUUGUACGAUCACGAUUUCUGUUUUCUGGGCAACCCAGAAAAUGUAUGAGCACGGUUUCUGACAUGCUUUGACUGGACCAGAUCUAGAUUUAAUGUUAUUAUACUUGUUUUAUGUAAUAGAUCUCUUCCUUGACAUGUUGUCUACAACCUGAAAUCAUUAGAUCACCAAAAGCUUACACAGAAAACAAGUAGUGGAAGCCCAAAACUAGCCAGUCGAACUGUUCUUUAUUUCUGGGUAACCCAGAAAAUGAAGAACGGCUCUGACAGCUUGUUCAAGGCUUUAGAUCUUGCUUGUGGUUUAUGAUAUGAUCCAGAAAUUGUUAUGAACUUGUAGUAUUACAUAUAGACUACAAUGACUGAUCAUUAGCUAGCCCAGAAACGUAUUGAGUUAAGAAUUAUUGCUGGUCAAACUUAGCCAUUCGAUCACUGCAUAUGCAUGUUCUUAAGGCUCAAGAACACAAUAGACGAUACUUUCUGUCGCUAAAGGCUUUAGCGACAGACUUAUUAAUUUUAAUUAUAUUAAUUUCCAAAAAUUAUUUAAAAAUAGAAAAUAAUUUCUAAAAAUUACAAAAAUAAUUUGAAGUUAUAAAAAUUAACUUUUAAUAAUUUGGCAUAUUUUUCAUGAAUAUUAGUAUUUUUUUUGAAUAUUAUUGAUAUUUAAUUUAUUAAAUAAAUGUAUUAAAUAAAUUAAUUAAAAAUGAUUUUAUUAUAUUAAAAAUCAUUUUAAAUGAUAAUAAGGUAUUUAAAAAUGUUUUAAGUUAUAAAAUAUAACUUUUAAUAUUUUAAGGUAAAUUUCAUUAAUUAUUUAAUAUUAAAGAUAUUAGAUUUAUUUAAUAAAUAUAUUAAAUAAAUUAGUUUAAAAAUGAUUUUAAUAUUAUAAAAAUUAUUUUAAAUAAAAAUAAAGUGUUUAAAAUAUUUGAAGUUAUAAAAUAUAAAUUUUAAUAUUUGAAGGAAAAUUUCAUUAAUAAUUUAAUAUUAAUGAUAUUAGAUUUAUUUAAUAAAUAUAUUAAAUAAAUAGUUUAAAAAUGGUUUUAUUGAUUUAAAAAUCAUUUAAAAAUGAUAUAAAUGGUUUAAAAAUAUUCUAGGUUAUAAUAAGUGACUUUUAAUAUUUUGAUAAAUAAUACAUUAAUAUUUAAAUAUUAAUGGUAAUUAUUUAAAAUGAUUUUAAAUGUUUUAAAAAUCAUUUAAGGGUAAUAAAAUUGUUUUAAAAAUAUUUUGAGUUAUUAUAAAUAACUUUAAUAUUUUGGCAAUGAUUUCAUUAAUAUUUUAAUAUUAUUUAAUAUUAAUGAUAAUAGAAUUAUUUAAUAUUUAAAUUAUUUACAAAUGAUUCUAUUAUUUAAAAAAUCAUGAUAAUUAUUUAAAAAUUAGUAUAAGUCUAUGAAAUUGAUCCGGACCUAGAUAAUUUGACUUGAUAGGUGAUUGUUUAUGAUCUAAUGACUGAUAUAACUAUGUUACAAUGUGCUUAGGCUAUGUGUUGACUGCCAAUAGUAGUACUAUGAGUUAUGGUAUGUUAUUCUAAUCGAAAUAAUAAUCUUAUGAAUGAUAGGUCAUUGUAUUAAAGGUAGAACUAAGUCGUGUACUAUAAGCAGCAGAUCAGGCAAGUAUCUAACCCUUUGCAUUUACUUUAUGCAAUGGACAUGUGUAAGCCAAUUUCAGAACUCUAUUAUUAUUGUUAUUGUUCAUGUAUCUAUACUUUUGUAGACAUGCCAGUUCUUGAAUUCUAUCCGAUCAUUGUUUAUCAUUACAGUAUUAUUAUAUAAUCCAGAUAUAUAUUCUAUUCGUUAAUUUCUAAAUAUUGUUAUACAAGUGUCCUCACUUGGAUAAUUGUUGUACAUGUUGAUACAAACCUAUUAAAUUUUGGUAUGUUUACAUUGAUUAAAAGUUGUCUAAGCUAUUUGACUCGGCUAGACAUAGAUUUAACAAUAGAGUUGAGAUAUGUCUUAGCUAAUUAUUAUGGCUAGACGAACAAUUAUUAGAACUUGAUAGGUUCGAGAAUAUAGUUCAAUUAUUAUUGAUAGGUCGAUGCCAAUUAUUUCGGCUAGAUCAAAAAAGAGAUUAGAUAUUGAAAUCAUAGAAUUUUGUUAUUUUGAUUCAAAUUCUGGUUAUAAGACUGAGAAGAACAACCUUUUAUAUAAAGGGAACCUUUUGGCACUACAAAAAAAUGGGCAUUUAACAAUAAUUUUUCGGGCAACGACUUUAUAAGUUGUUGCUAAAAGUAUAUGUAUAGCAACAAAAUUUAUUUUUUGUUACAGAUUGUGUCAGGCUUUCACUUUUUGCAACGAAAUUCAUAAGUCGUUGCAAAAUUUCGUUGCUAAUUCAUUGGCGGAAAAAAAAUUUGUUAGAAAUUUGUUGCAAAAUUUUUGGCCACUUGAUUUUCCGUCAUCGUGGGCAGCAAAAGUUUUUUUGUUGCUAAAAUGGGGCUUUAGCAACUAUUUUUCAGGCAACGACUUUAUAAGUCGUUGCUAAAAGUGUAUGUUUAGCAACGAAACUUGUCCUUCGUUGCAGAUUCUGUCAGGCUUUCACUUUUUGCAACGAAAUUCAUAAGUAGUUGCAAAAUUUGGAAACAAAAUUCGUUAGAAAUUCGUUGCAAAAUUUAUAACCACUUGAUUUCUCCUCAUCGUGGGCAACGGAAGUUUUUUUGUAGCUAUAUUUCGUUGCCUAAUAUGGACCACAUUCAUUGGCAACAAUUUUUAUUUUCGUUGCAUAUUUUAUACAACUUUUUGCAACGACUAUUAACAUGUUGCCUUAAAUUAAGAUGAUGAUGAUGAUAAUAAUAAUAAUAAUAAUAAUAAUAAUUACAGUCAUAAUAAUAAUAAUAAUAAUAAUAAUAAUAAUAAUAACAGUAACAAUGCUUUUCUUGAGAAUCGAACUCUUAACCUCCCCAACUCUUUAAACAAAUGCUCAAAUCAACUGAGCUACAAGUAUUUUUACUUUAAAGUCAUUAUAUACCUUACUAUAUUUUUUUUAAUACUUCUUGUUUUAAAAUAAAGGGUGGAGCUGGUACUAAUAAACUAUAUAUACAUAUUUAUUUUUAUUAUAUAUAUAUAUAUACACACACACAUAUAGAGAGAGAAAGACAAGGAAAAAGGAGUGAAGUUAGUGAGAGAGUACAGACGAGAGAAUUAGGAAGUCUAGCUGUCAUCUACGACUCAUGUGGAAUUGUUCCGAAAUUAGUAUGAUUUAUUAAUCUACGACUAGUGAUAUUAUAUAAAUAUUUAUAAAUAAUAAAAAUAUGACAUUUAAUACUAAGGAUAUUACGCACAAAUUAUUGUAAAAAAAUAGAUUAUUUAAUAUAAGUAAAUAUUUAACUUGAGAUUACAUAAAAUAAUUCUUAGACGGAGGGAGUAACUUAAAUCAUGAACAUAUUUUUAAGUCCAAAAAUAAAACAUAAAAAUUUGAAUAGUAAUGGUAUACCUCUAGCUAUUCUUAGUUCUCAUUUUACCUUUUUUCAAUAUAUAUUAUAAAAUUAAAUUAUAAUACUAUCAAUUCUAAGAGAAAACAUAAAAGAUGAAGAAAAAUUUAUUAUGUUUUAUGAACUAAAACAGAAUAAAGUUAUUCAGUUUAACCGAAUAACCGAACAACACUUUACUAAAUUACUAAUUUACUACUUUACUAGACUAAAUUGCAAAUCUGACCCUCCUAUUUGUCAUGUUUUUGCUAAAUUGUUCCCUAAACUUUUUUUUAUCAUAACUGUUCCUCGUAGAUGCGUUAGUCAUGCAAAUGUGUUCCUUCAAUUUUUUUCACCUAUUAAAAAUUAAUUUUCUCUCUCCUCUCCUCAUUUUUUUAUUUUUUAUUUUUAAAAUUUGUGUAAAAAGUAUAUUCUUAUUCUUCUUUUUAAUUGUUUAUUUUUAUAUUAUCAUUUUGAAUUUAAUAUGAAAUAUCUCUAAUUAAUUUUAGAUAAUAUAAUUUCCAAAAUUAUAAACUUUACUAUUUUUUUAUUUUAUCUAAAUGGUACUAAUAAUGGUAUGAAAAAAAUAUAAUUAAUAAAAAAAAUAAAAAAAUACUAGUUUAUAUAAACCUUACUAUUUUUUUAUUAGUGUUAUUUAGAUAAAAUAAAAAAUAGUAAAGUUUAUAAUUUUAGUAAUUAUAUUGUUUAAAAUUAAUUAAUUUAUACUAAUUUUGAAUUAUGCAAUUUAGUCACUUUACUAAUUUCUCAGCACUCAGCGUCUCAGUCCAUUCAUUACUAGAAGACUCCAACUCUCAGACUGAGUCUCUCGGAUCAGAUCUCUCUCAAGCCUCUCACUUCUCAGCCUCGUCUCGUCUUCUCAGAUCAGAACUCUUAGUCUCGUCUUCUCAGAUCAAAACUCUCAGACUCUCAGUCUCGUCUUCUCGAACUCUCAGUCUCAAAGCCUCAGAUCUGAGAUCUCUCAAGCCUCAAGUCUCGAAUUUUGAACUCUCGAACUCUCAGAUCUCAGCGCCGGCGGUAGCUUUCCAUUUGUUAAGGUAAUUUUGUAAUUUACCUUUACUAAAUUCUCGAAGACCGAUUGCUUUUAGUGUGGGUGGGUGUCUACAUAUAUUUGAUAGGAAAAUAUAAGGAUUAUAAUUUUAAAGAUUGUUGGUUCAUUAGUCACAAUUUCUGCAGGCAUUACUUUACAGAUUUUACAAUUUUUGCAGGCAAUACUUUACAGAUUUUACAAUUUCUGCAGGCAAUACUUUACAGAUUUGAGUCUUUUUUUUCUACAGUGGGAAAUAUUAAUUUCCUGUAGUUAAUUUCUUAAUUGGUGUGGUGUAACGGUGAUGGAAUGUUCAAUUAUAUUACUGUUUAUGUUGGCAUCUCUGAAGCAAAAUAUUAUGUGGUUUAUGUAUAACUAAAAAGUUCAAGUAAAUAAUUGAAGUCAAUAGACAUAACUACUAUUAACACAAAAAUAAAAUAAAAGUUGAAGUCAAUAUGAUGAGUGGGAGUCUAGGUAAUUUGAGAAAGUAGAACUGUUUGUUUCAGUAAAAAGGUUGCACCGCCUUUUUCCUUAGGAACAUAUAAUGAAUAUUUUUUUUCUCCUUAUCGUGAUAAAGUAGAAAGAGAGGGUUAUUUUAUUCAAUCCAUGUUGUGUUCUUUGAGUUUUUCCUUUUUGUGGAGUCUGUUUUAAUAUUUAUCUACUGAAAAAUUUCAUAUCAUGGUUAUUAUUUGUUGGUUCCUUGUAUCGGUUGUUUUCUAUUCUAUUCAUGAUGUGUUCUUUUCUUGUUUUUGCUGUAUUGAUACUUAACUUUUGAUAUUCAAAAUUAAGUAAGUUCUUUGAUUUUCAAAAUUAAGUAAGUUAUUUCACAAAACAAUGGGAAACCUCAAGUAGAUGUAGUCAUGUUUGAGGUCUGACUUUUAAGGAAUUGUAUGGGAGUUUUUCAAUUAUGUUUUUAGAUACCUAUUUGGAGUUAGUGUAUAGUUUCGUAGCUUGGAUUUAUGGGUGAUGUAACUAAAAAAAAAUAAUUCAGUCUUUGUUUAUGGAUGACUUACUUGAGUACGUGUUAAUGCAGGAUAUAUCCCUCCUUCAUGGACUGGGGAUUAAGUUUAUUCUUGUACCUGGGACUCAUGUCCAGAUUGAAAAACUAGUACAUGAGAGGGGUGAGUGAAUCCUGGCUCAUUUGCAUUUUAUUCUCCACUUCAUUACUUCUAUACUUAUUAUCGAAUAUAUUGUGGAUGUGCACUACUAUAUCUUUCACCUUAACUUUAUUAGGCCUCAUGGAGACAGUUUUCUUAAGUUACUUGUAUCAUUUGAUUAAUUUGUAGUCACUUUUCAAAAAGGGAUAUAAACUAACUGGUAUGUGAUUCUUGCAGGAAGUGAACCAAAGUAUGUUGGUCGAUACAGGAUUAUUGACCCCAAUUCUCUCGAAGCCGCAAUGGAUGCAGCUGGGAGAAUUCAUAUUUUGAUAGAGGCAAAGCUGUCUCCUGGUCCCUCCUUAUGCAAUAUUCGUCGACAUGGUGAAAAUAGGUGCUGGCACGAUGGUGUUAGUGUUAUUGUGGAAAGUAUCCAAUUGACAUGAGUUUGUGGUCCAUAUUCAUUCUUUUAACAUUUACAGCGCUUGACUUCUAGUUAUUUAAUCUUUUUAAAAAUUACUUCCAAGUUAAUUCCAAACUGAAAUUGCAGAUGGAAAUGGUGGGAUGACUGCUGGUUCCUUUCCAAGGCGCUCUGAAUUGUCUCGAAUGAACUCAAGAACUAUGUCACAUGUACUUCAGAAUUACAUUCCAACAAAUCCCAACUUAACAACAGCUUGUGUGGAUAAUUCGGCUCCAUUGAUUAGUAUGAUGAACACUUGUCAAGAAGCAGCUGGAAAGCGAUGGCCAAACUUCAUUGCUGUUGAUUUUUACCAGGUAUUAGCGUUCAACACUAGAUAUAACUUUAAUCAAGUCGUGCAUCAUUAUUCACUAACCAUUAUAGCCACGUGAACAAAAAACUAAUUUAAUUUUGCCAACUCCAAUGGUGUUUUGAUGCAGAAGAACGAUGGAGGAGGAGCUCCAGAAGCUGUGGACGAAGCAAAUGGUCAGCUCACUUGUGGAUGUGCCAGCAUAGCGUAUUGCAAGGUUAGCUAAUUUCAACUAUUAUCUUGUCCUGCUUUUAAUAUGAUCAAAAGUUUACAUACCACAAAUUUAUUAUCAGCCCAUACUUUCAUUAACUUCAAAUCGGUUGCAAAAAAUUCUCUAUCAUACCAAAUGAUUUUAUAGCUUAUCUUUUUAUUUCUCAUUUAUUCUUUUUAUAUGUUUUUCUCUUGUUUCUAAUCCUUUUUUAAAACUCCAUUGACUAUACAUUUGUUUGAUACUAAUAAAUUAUCUAAAUUAGAUGGACUCCACACUUAUAAGUUCCAUGAAAUCCGCUUAGGUAAAGGGAUAUGUAUAUACAUUUUAAUUGCAAACAGAUACAAAGAAAAGAAAAGAUACAGGGGACACCACCACUGAAACUAAUAAUAAAAAUAAUAGGAUAUGUGCUACAUAAUGUGCAGGUAAUAAAAACUAUUAACAGGUGGGUCUUCCACUUGAAGCUUUAUAUUUUUUUCCUCCUUUUUUUUCUUGGAGGUGAAUAAUGUCAACACUAGGAGUUGAGCUUAGAAAGUAAUGCCAUACUAUAAGAAUGAAUUAAUGAAUUUAUAACUCUAGUAAGGAUAUAAAUUAACUAGUUCACUCACCCAUUAUCUUUCUGAAAUUUUUCCUUUCUUCCCCAAAUAUUACAGGCAAAUGCAACUUUCGGCACAUGUGACACCCCUCGGCUUUCACCACCACCACUAGCAGGACUCACACCUGGACCACCCUCGCAAGAUCCCAACAAUGAUUUUGUGGUUACUACACAGGUCCAACUUCAUUGGUUGAUCGGAAUAACUUAGCUGUUACAUCCCAACAAUGAUUCUGGUGACCUAUUUGCUUCAUUUUCCUGACUUGAUAUUAUGUUUAAAUAUGUGCAGGAAGACUGCUUCUACGACUUGCCUUACAAUACUGGGUAUCAAAUUUUUGUGCUACGUUUACGAAAGACAAGGGACGGAAUUAUGAAGUGUACUCUCUAUAUAUGUAGAUAUAUACUUUGAUUGAAGAACUUUGGUAACUUUAGAUGGUUAAUUGUAAAGAUAUUGAAUGAUUAUGUAGUGGAUGAUUUUAUUAAGUUAAUAAUAUUUUAGUUUGUUUGUAUUUUUGUCAUUAUUUGUUAUGGGGACAUUGAGCCAGCCAGGUACACAAAAAGAAUGUCAAAUUUUGAUUUGGCAACAAUAUAAUUUGUUACCAAAGCAUUGAACAAGUUUUAAUAUAGCAACAUUUUUUUAUACAAUUAGCAACAAAUUUUCGUUGUUAAUGACAUUAAAAAUAUAAUAUUUGGUAACGAAAAAUUAACCUAAUAACAACGGAGAGGAUAUUGUUGCUAAUACUAAAAUAAAAGGCAACAUUUUUUAUCGUAGCAAAUCAAAUCAACUUUUGUUGCACAUAUAAGGAAAUGGCAACAUAUAAUGUUGUUGCUAAUCGACGACUUUCGUUGCUAUUGAAAAAUAACCAGCAACAAACAUUUUUAUUGCUGAUUCAUCAUAAUGUCAUUGCCAAAUAAUAUAAUCAGCAACGAUAAUCGUUGCUAAAAAGUUUACAUUCCGCAACGAAAGCAAGUUUAGGCAACAAUUUUCAUAAUUUACUGCAACGAAAAAUGUCGUUGCAAAAUGGUAUCAAUUGCAACGAAAAUGCAUGGUCGUUGCAAAAAAAAAGAGUUCAUUUCGUUGCGAAUUAGUAGGCUUUUGCAACGAAAUGGAGUUUUUAGCAACGUAAUUUUAAUUAUUCUGCAACAAUACAUUUUUUUGCUAAAAGAUCGAUGUCUUUGUACGAAAGCCAAAUUUUGUUGCAAAAUGUAUUACUUUUGGCAACGAAAAAAAUACGUUCGUUGCGAAACAAUUAGCAACGCUCAUUGCGCAACGAAAGAUGCAACGACAAUAAAGUCGUUGCCAAAAUCGUUUUGCAACGAAAUUUGGCACCUUUAGCAACAAAAAUUAGUUGUUGCUGAAGCCCCAUUUUUUUGUAGUGUGGUCGUAUAUUCGGUCUUUGCAUGCGUGUAAGUAUUAUGCAUAAUAUGGGUACAUGGAGUUGGCCGCUCUAAGUACUUGCUGAGGGGUAUGACUUAAUCUUUAUGGUUAUCUUAUACACUUGGGUAUAUCAAAGAAAAUCUUUGAUAGUUACUCGCGAAGAGAAGUUCAAGAUCCUUAGGGAUCACUCAGCAUAAACUCUGGAAAAUAUUCAACUUUGUUAUUGUGUAGAAUUAAUUCUUGUUAAUCAAUUAAAUAUCAAAAAUCGAAAACAAAGUUCAUAGAUUGUCGACUGAUCUCUAUUUAUAGUCAGUACGUAGUUUCAAAAUUUGCAAUAGAAUUGAUAUGUUGUUUAGUGUUGCUUCAGUUUACUUCACAACUGUUGAUUUGUUGUAAAAGUGCCAUUCACAGAAAACAUUUACUCCUUCCAGCUAACAUUUAUUGUCUGCCAUUACUUGUUGGGCACCCAAAUGCUCAUUUUUGCUUUAAAUGUAAAUGUUUUCAGCUAAGUGUAAUCAACCUGAAGGUUCAGACAAGAAUAAAGGAAAGGGAAAGACUGAGUUCGGGUUUCAAGUACCUGAAUUUGGGGGCGUCACAUCUCCUUUCAUCAUGUAGGUCGUAAAAGAAGUCUUCUGCGCCUCUCCCACGUUUGAAAUAACAAACGCCUUCUCUAUUUCCUUCACCCAAGUCUGGGCCUCUAUUGGAUUCAUGGUUCCAUUGAACUCUGGCGGACCUACACUCUUAAAUUUCUUAAAGGUAGUCGUUCUGGAUACCCUAGGUACCGCGGGUGCUCUACCACUGGCUUGAUUAAAUGCAGCCAUUAAUAAAUUAACGAACUCCUGCAUAUGGUUGUUCAGACCCCCUUGGUUAUCGUUAUGGGAUUCAGCUUCCUGAUUACGCUGUCUUCUUCUUGGCGGCAUUUUUCUGAUUAAAUAAAUAAAGUUUCAUUAUUAUCUAUUUUCUUACUUAGUUAUUAUUCAUCAAACAAAAAACUCAUACCAUAACAAAGCACAGUUAAUAAAAACUUCAUUAUAUUAAUAUGCUUCUUUAUAGUUCAAACUAUUUACAGAUUGAUUCCAUAGCCAAAGCUAUUACAUUCCUAUCCCAUGAUUGAAUUCUACAAAAAUUGGGAUUUACAAAAAGACUACCCUUUAGUUAUACAAAAGAGAGUUUUACGUCACUACACAUAUACACAAAAGAUUUACCAAUCUAUACUUCCUCCAUCUACUUCUAAUACUGCAUAACAACAUUCUCAUGCUUCUGAUUCGCAAGAAUCGACACAAUAUCCCGACUAAUAGUGUGUCGAGUUUGCCCUUACUUAAUCGAAUAACAAGAAAUUUUUAGCUUGAAAUACUCAUGAGCACUCUCAUGGAUGUAAGACAUCUGUGCUAUUUUCUGGUUCUUCUCAACCAGUUCCUUACGAAGCUCAACGGCCUCAUUCUUAUAAUCCGUCGCCUUAUCCUUCAUAAGUACCUUCUCAUCAGGCUCUAUGUCAAAAUCUGCUUCUGUAGACUCCUUAGCUUCAUGGAGGUCACUAACCUCCUCCCUCAGAUUCUGCACAAUAGUGCGCAGUUGCACAUUCUGGUCAAGCACCGCUACAUACAAUGCCCUCAUUACGUUUGGAGGUGUUGGCUCUAGUGCAGGUACCACCAUAUUAAACGAUGCUACCUCUAUAUCCUCAUCCACAUCGACCUCCGUAUCAAGAUAUGACAUUGAUCCCAAGUUUUCAAUAUCCCCCUCUGAAUUGUCCUCCUCUGGCUUGGACUCUUCUAGGUUCACUAUUGGUACCCCCGCCACUGGCACUAGUACUGGCACUACUUGGUUUACGGACUCUUCGCUCACCACGUGUAUAUCCCUAUACAUGUAGCUAUCGAUGGACAUCUACAAUAACACAUAACAUGUUGAUUAGUACAUAAUACAUAAUAAUAUAAGCACAAAUCACAUUUAGUUUAUUUAGGGUUAAUUUCCAUUUUUUAAAUCUUUCGGUACUGAGUUUCCUCAAUACUUAAUUAACUCAUUCUACUCUAGUUCAAUUCCUUCUAAAUUCACAUUUACUAACAAGGUUAUUAGCCUAAGGUUCUUCCCCCUUAAGUUUUAUAACCUAAUGCUUUAAUACCAACCUGUGACGCCCCCAAAUCUAGGUACUUUCAACCCAUAGAUAUGGUGCUUGUAAGACCCCAACUUUUAUGAAUAAAGAUUAUUUUUCUCGAAAUAUAUUUUCGAAUAUUAUGGUUUUGAUUUGAUAUAAUGUUAUAGUUGUGGGUAAUAUUUACAAAUUUUGCAAAGUAAGCAAGUUGUUAUAUAAUAUUCGAUUGGUCGGGGAAUAUUUGUUUUAACAGGGAAUAUUCGUACGACGACACAAUCAUUGGUGGACCCCACAAAGGAAGUAUUGUUGUAGUUAGAAAACGACAAAAUUAUUUUUUUAAAAAAUAACGACGAAAGUUUUACCGUUAAACUGUUGAAUUACCCGAUAGUAAAAGUACAGUAAUACGCGUGGUUGCAUAGUAGCACACAGUAUUGAUUAUUGAUGCUUACGUGAGAAGUCACUCAGUUAUACUCAAUUAUUGCUACAGUAAUUACUGCAUAAUAUCUCUCAUAUUAUUGAUUCAAUUAUUGUCACAGUAUCAUUUGCAUAAUAUUUAUUAUUAUUAAAUCAAUAAUUGAGACGACAAAGUUAUUCAUAUUAUUAUUUGCAAUAUUGACGAUGUCUAGAAAGUACUGUCGAGGAGAGGUUUGGUCACCUAAUUGUGCGCCAAUAGGGAGAAAUCUUUAUCGGAAAGCCCCCUCUUUCCUGGGAAUGAUCUAGUUGUUAAAUAUUGUGAGUUAUAAUUAUGAAUAAGUUCGUGUUGAUUAAAGAUGAAAUUGAUAUUUCCAUUGUAUUGGGAUUAUUAGUGUUAGUGGAGAUCGACAUCUAUUCCGAUAAUAAUUGAUAUCUGGAGGUUAUAUUGACCAAUCGAGUAAUUAAUUAGAUAAAUAAACAAUUAAUUGCUAUUAAUUCACAUGCUUAUAGCUAUUUGUUCACAUGUGUGUAGUAUUGAUUCACAUGCAUGUACUAUUAGGAGAGGUGGUGCAAUAUUGAUAAUUCUUGCAUGACUAAAUUAAAAAUGGAGGUAUAGAUGAAGGUACUAUACUAUAAUUAUUUUUUUCACAUAUAUAGAACUAUUGAUUUACAUGAUUGUACUAUUGAUUCACAUGAUGUACUAUUAGGGGAGGUGGUGCAAGUUUGAUAAUACUUGCAUAACUAAAUUAAAAAUGAAGAAAAAGAUGAAGGUAUUUUACUGUAAUAUUUUGAGCCCAAAACGUUCAAUUAUCAAAACUAUAUUUUCCUAUAUAUAGAAGCUCAUUCUUCUUUCAUUCUCACCAAUUCACUAAGACUCACAAGAGUAAUUAUAUAGAGAGAAGCUAUAAAGAGAAAGAAGAAGAGAAGUCUACUACCUCACUAUUCCAGUAUCCAGUCUUCUUCUGAGGUAAGGGGUAUUAUUUUUGAUCAGUAUUCAUAAGGAAUAAUAUUUUCUUCAAUACUCUGUAGUAUGUGAGUAAUAUUAUUUCGUCUCAUAUUCCUGAUUAUACCCUCAUUAUGUUUAAGUAUUACUUCUAUACUCCGUGAAAUUAGUAGAAUAUCCUUGAUAUUUGCGCUUUAUCUAGUAUCUUUUCAUGGAAAUAUUAUUCUGAGCUUUCUUGAUAAUUAUUGAUCUUUUCAUACCGAAAUACUAUUCAUGGGUUACUAUUCACUCAAAUAUUAUUCACUCGGGUAUUCGGGGCACUUUUCAUGCCAGAGUACUAUUCAUGAGUUACUAUUCACGGGUUACUAUUCACUCGAAUAUUAUUCACUCGGGUAUUUGGGACACUUUUCAUAUCGGGGUACUAUUCACGAGGUAUUAUUCCUGAAGUACUACUCAUAGGGUACUAUUCACGAGGUACUAUUCACACGAAAAAUAUAUUUCUUUUCUGUCCAAAUUAUUUUUGAUACAUGAAUAUUAUUCUUGAAUUUUACUCCACAAAGUAGUAUCAUGUUGACAAUUUGGAUAUUUUUAAACUCUGGAUAAAUUUAAAGUCUUUAAUAUUUAUCCUUGAUUUCGUUUGAUUAAUGCUUAUAUCAUUGUCAUCAUCCUCAUGCUUAUAUUGUGAUGAAAGUCAUCUUUGGCUUACGUGCAUAAAUGGACUGUUGAUUUGUAUGAUUAUGACCAGGGAUCAUUCAGUAUAAUCAUGACUCGUAAUGUUAUAAAUGAUGUGGUAAAAGUCCUCAUUGGUCCAUAGUGCAUGAAUGGACAAUUAUUGGUAUGAGUAUGACCAUGGAUUAUUCGGUAUAUUCAUGACCAUUGAUGAUUACAUGAAUAUCCUUGGCCCGUAGUGCAAGGAUGAUUCGAUGAUGUGGUUUAUUUAUUAAGCUGAGUCUUAGCGAUAAAGUUGAUGAAAAACUUUUUAAAUCAUAGAAGAUAGUAGAUAUCAUGCUCUACUUGACUCUUCUAAUGGAUUGCUUGUUCCGCUACUUGACUCUUCUACUUGAUAUUUAUUGUAUUUUAUCAGUUUAACACUGUUGAAGGCUAAUGAUAAUUUAUUCUGCAUUAUCUUAGUCAUAAUAUUUCUUACUGGGAUUGUUGAGCUCACCCUUUUUCUUUCAUUGUUCUCUUCAGGAAAUGAGAACGUAGCCAGGACUAGUCGGGGAACGGAGUGAUGUUCCGAGAUAGUUGUUUUAGCAGUCCUCACUACUUAGUACGAUAAUAAAUGUAAUGAGGAUUGAAUUGGAGUUUGGAUAUUGUCUAGAAGACAAUAUUCGUGUAUAAACUUAGCUAUAUUUUGUCGUAUUUUUACACGACAGUUGUAUUAAGGAAGUUUGUAUUUGAUUUCUAUACCAUGUAUUUGGCGACUCAAGAUGGGUGAUGUACACCUAUUUUGGGGGCAUCACAGUGCUACACGGUACUCAUAACUAUACAUUCAUUCCAUUGAAACAACAUCAAAAUGAUUGUAUUUGCUACAUUCUUAUUACAAUAAUAAUAAAUCCUUUCCCAGGUUCUGUUAACCAAAUUCAUUCUUCGUUCUUCAUAAUAUAAUUCAUACAAACAUACUAGUCUAUUGCAGAAUAAUCUACUUAUCCAUCUUCGCCUUGCCUUUAUCUUUACUAGAACCCUCAGUUUGCUCGGCCUUAGCUGCAAUCAUAUAAUUCAAGCAAGAAGUGAGCAUAACUAGCUCAGCAAGUCUAGCAAUAUAUAAUAUAAAUAUCACGUCGAGAAUUAUAUGAUUAUUCUUCGUCAACUGAACAAGUAGUUAUGAAUUACUAUGAAACAGUAAAAUAGCACUUUUCAUUUCAUAAAUUAAUUCCAGAGUACAUAUAGUAACUUAGGAAUUCUGAGCAGGUUAAAAGACCAUGAACAUCCUCUUUUGGUUUUCAUUCAUGAAAAAAGGACAACCCGACACUAAGUCCGUAAGUCCGAUAUAUCUUACGAGCACUUCUAGGUGAUCAGCCUAUAGUACUCUAUGUUGAUCAACACUCAUUCGUUAAACGUAUUUACAUUUAAGUUUUGGCAACCUCAUGUGCCCAUCGAAUAAUCGAUGUAAAAUACAUCUGUUUGUUCAUACUCAAGCUUACCUUGAAUCCGUACCAAACAAUUGGCAUAGGAUAGCGUUAACAAUACUAUAUCGAAAGACUUGUAAACAAAUCAAUCAAACUGUUAAGAUUAGUCUAGUCGAGUUAAAAUUGGCAUCGACUCUUUCAUAAAAUAAUUCAUGCAUCUCAUAACAUGAAUCACAGAAAACUUGGCUAACACGAAGGUUAGACAAGCAUUAAGAAAACUUUCCUUCAAGCGUCUUCAAUUAAAAUUCAAUAGUUCUUGAUCUUUACAGUUUCUACAUGAUAUAUUCACAUAACACACUGCAAUUAGCUACCAAACUAUCUAAUCACAUUGUUUUUACCAACUUCUUUCUCUUUUAUAACUUAACUGAAUUUAUUUCAUUAAUAAAAGUCGUUUCGACAUUCUUAUCUUUCAUUACGGCUUAUUAACAUCCAUAUGUUCCUAAACCGACACUUGACAACAAUUGGUUAAAUACCAUAGUAAUUGAAUAUGAUUUACCCUUUCCCACUUCACAUUCUUUGUUUAAUUACUAUUAAACAACGUUCAUUUCGUAAAGUCAUCACUAUACAUGUGAUUUAAGAUUGGUCUUAUCAUGUAUACUAAGUAUAUACAUGCCCCAUCAUUGUUGAGUAAACAAUUGGGUUAAAAAAUAACCAAGUUAGAUAGUUCUUCUCUCCCGACGCUGCGGCUCCAUCCUCAAGUACAAUGUUAGUGCUGAGGCGCUAACUAACAGUAGCCAAACCCUAGUCUUAGCACUGCGGUGGGAGACUUCCUAUAUAUCAGUGGCAUUGUGGUGCCAUUUUGCAGUAGUUAAUCCCCCUUACCCGGCGCUGCGGCGCCUACCCUGAGCCUUUGUAUUUUUUUUAUAUUUUCCAAUUCAAUUCUUCCCGGACUCAUAACUUA
rnacentral:lncRNA from 1 species